rnacentral:lncRNA from 1 species
UCGCAGAGAGCAAAGAAUUUUCUCUUAAUGGAACUUAGCGCGAGUUAAUAUGGAUAGGACUGAGGUCUUAAGACUCCUAACUAUUAAUGGAAAGGACCCACGGAGCGGUGCAAAGAAUAUAUUAGAAGGGCAGACAGGUCCGGAGGACCUGUCUGUCCUUCGUCUUAAUACUCCUAACGUCGAAUAAGAAGCUGGAGGCUGGGUCCAGGUGCAAAGAAUAUUGUGUCCAUUAGAUCCAUUGAAUUAGGCGAAGGAUUUUAUCAAGCUUAGCUUUCUGGAUUCUUCGGCGGAGUGGGGCUUUCUCUAGUAGGUCUGGAGGCUCAAAGAAUGAUCGAAGGCUCCGGACCAUAAAGAAGAGAGUCGGAGGACUUCCAUUGACUUUUUCUUCCUUUCACUUCUAACUUCAAACCUUUCAUAUUCAACCUUGAAAAUAAAGGAGGGAGCGGACUAGAGGCCAUAAGUUUGAGUUCCUCAGAUGUAUAAAAACAAGUCCUCCGCGACGACCUAUCCACUGAAAGUAGCUACGUAGUCUUGUCUCCUUCCCCGCGUAGUGGGCAUUGACUUCUUCAUUGAUUUUCUUCUAUCUCCCACGUAGCGGUUGAAUAUGAAAGGAAGCCCACAGAGCUGAAGAUGGAGCGGGAUAAUAAAGAAGAAAGCUCAAAAGGAGGGAGCGGACCUCAAUGAACAAAGGACUCGUUUUCAUCCUUAUGGAAGAAAAAUCUCUUUUUUUUAUCUAAAAGACGUAGAAGGAGGCUCAAUGUCUAAUCUUUCUCUCAAAUCAAUAUCCCCCAGUGCAAAUAUUCCAGCAAUAUUCUCAAUAUGAAAAGAGCCUUUCUUCUUUUCUUAGAUAAAUGCGCUUCGUAGAUUAUGCUGAAGGAGGAGUGGGCCAUGAUCUUUGCUCCUUAAUUUCCCUAAUGGAUAGUCAUCUGGACCUUUCUUUUUAGUUCUUUGCGCUCGUCAACGCAUAUUUCAUUGCGCCUUCGCCUUCAAUGAAAUCCAUAAAUAAAUAAGGGUAGAUUUCAGACUCAAGAGGAGGGUUCCUUAUCAAUAUCAAUGAGACGGAUAGGCUUUCUUUUACAUUCCACAGGUCCGAAGGACUAUCCAUAUUAACAUGUCUGUCCUUCGCCUAACUAGUUCAUAUAGACCUUUGUUUUUCUUCCGCAGUCACUAAUAUGGAUAGUCCGGAGGACCUCCUUCAGCAUAAUCUAUGAAUGAUCGGAGCAAAGAAUAUUGCGGAAAAGAAGAAAGGAGUGCAAGCGAAAAAUAAUGGAUUGAAUAGUCCUUCGGACGACUACCGCACUUGGGGAUAUUGUUGAGAAAGAAUAUUGAAAAAGAAUGAUCGAAGAAUAUUGAAAAAGGACGGAGGAUAGGCUUUCUUUGAACAAUGUGGAUGUAUCAAAGAUUCCACAGGUUAAUAUGGUAGAUUUCAGACUAGUCCUUCACCUUGGAUCUGGGGACUAUUCUCUGUUCUAAUAGACAGAGGAGAGGUUCAAAGAAUAUUGAGAAUACUCGUGCAAGCGCAAUCAAUGAACAAGGUGAAAAGAACAAAAAAAAAAGGCGGUCGAUGAUCAGGAAGAAAAAGUCAAAAGUCUAUCCCAUCUUCUUCGUUAGGCGCAAAGAAGAAAAAUAAGGUGCAAAGAUCUAUGGCCCAAUUAUAAGGGGUCCAGAUGCACCAUAAGACUGGUCCGAAGGACUAUCCAUAUUAACCGGAGUCUUCAACAAGAUUUCCAACCCUGAAUAUUAAGCUACUGAGGCCCAAUAUUGCGAAGGAAGAACUGCGCCAUAAGACAGGUCCGAAGGACUAUCCAUUAGGGAAUGAGACGGAGGUAAGUUUGGUUUUUUGGAAAACUUGUUGGCGCGAUUAGUGCGUUUUUUUUGGAAAGUAACAAUUCUCUUCAUUUGUUUUCAGAAAACUUGUUGGUCCACGGAUUAGUGCGUUCUGCGCCGCCUGGUGUCUGCAAACAUAUUUUUCCAAAGUGUGUUUACCUUUGGUUAUAUGCUCCGAUUACCCCCAGUUUAUCUCAUCUUUAGUUUGCAUAACUAGUUUAGCUGUUUGCUUUUCAUUAUAGGUCAUAAAGCUUGGGUGUGACGUUUCAGCAUUUUCAUAUGCAAGCCUGCCAGAGAGGAAAAUGUUCAAAAUGUACUAUAGGGGAGGCAUACCAGUUGAAUCCCCGCCCAAGCAUUAGUUGUACUCUUUGCAAGCAACCCUUUUUCCUUGCAAUUGGCAGUCUUUAAUGCUUAUUGUAACGUCUAUUUCAAUGUAUUUCUUUCUUUCCCGUGUUUUAUAAAUAAAAUGUCCCUAAAACGCAAACGAAGGUUACGACAUACAUCGACGUUACCCACAACUCUUGGAUAUUGAUCGACUGACUUGUUCAUCGAGUUAGAACAAGUGCCGCACAAUCGUCCGUCUCGAGGUUGAAACGCUACGAUUGUGACAAGUGGUAUCAGAGCCAAAGUUGGUUGAGUGACAGUUUUGACAAAAAUAAAAUGUCGACUGCAAAACGAGCGAGCAAGACCCAUGAAGAACGGUUGGUGGAGAUCGAAGUGCAGAUGCUCCACCUGAUGGAAGUUCCUGAUUCCAUCCGGUUCUUGGAAUAGCGGCUUGAGGAUAUUGCCAAGAAAGCUGAUGGCAUUGAAGCCGUGUCCGGUCACCUUGACGGACUACCCAUCCAAGAGUUACUGACUAGAGUCGACACUCUAGAGUCCCGAGUUAUGAGAACGGGAAAUGUCACCUACGAGCGUGGGGACAGUUCAUCGGGCUCUGUUGCCCAGAUGGAAGAAAGAGUUAUGGAGCUUGAUAACUCGCAAAAGAACAUGUUGGAGAUGAUGAGCGGCAUGACAAAGGAUUUUCGAGCAACGCUGGAGGAGCCAUUCUUGUGGGCAGAAUCAAGAUUCCUAAGCCCAAGCCCUUCUGUGGGGCGAGAGAUGCCAAGGCGUUGGAAAACUUUAUCUUUGAUGUCGAGCAGUAUUUCAAAGCCUCGAACACAAUUACUGAAGAGGCCAAGGUGACGUUGGCAACCAUGCAUUUGUCAGAAGAUGCGAAGUUAUGGUGGAGGUCCCGAUACAUGGACAUUCAAGAAGGGCAUUGCACAAUCGACACGUGGGAUGCCCUAAAAGGAGAACUCUGUUCGCAAUUUUCCCUGAGAAUGUCGAAAUUCUGGCCCGACAGAAGCUGCAUGAAUUGAAGCACACGGGGAACAUUCAGGACUACGUGAAACAGAUUGUGGGGGUAAUGUUGGAUACACGCGACAUGAUCGAAAAAGAUAAAAUAUUCAGCUUUGUUGAAGGGUUGAAGCCAUGGGCAAGGACUAAGCUAUACGAGCAGAAAGUCCAAGACCUCGUGUCAGCCUAUGCAACAGCUGAACGUUUGUUUGAUCUGUCUAAUGACGUUCAAGAGACAAGACAUCAUUGAAGCUCUUCACCUGGAAGAGACAGAAACAGCCGACUGAAUUCUCCCGAAGCUGUCAGUAGAAAUAAAAGUCCUGGUAGAGACCGCAAGCCCUUCCAGUCAAAUACGGGGAACACCAGGCAAAGGCCCACUAGUCAAAGGACCUCCCACACUCCUAUCAGUUGCUACAUUUGUAACAGGCCACAUCGGACAAGGGAAUGUCCGGAUAAAGCGGCCUUCUACGCCUUCCAGGCCUCUCUGGCUACAGACUUAGGUGACAAGUUGGGUCAACCAGAGAAUGAAGGUGGGUAGGUGGAGGAAGUCCAAAACGUUAGAGUAGGGGCCAUAAGACUUUGUCGUUCCUUCAGAAGAAAGCGGGGGAGACAAGUGGUCGUACAAAAGGGGGCCUAAUAUAUGUGGACACCUGGAUCAACCGAAGGCAUGCAAAGAGCACUAUGGUUGACUCCAGUGCAACCCAUAAUUUUAUAACGGUGGCGGAAGCCAGACGAUUGAACCUUCACUAGAAGAAGGAUACAGAAAAGAUGAAGGCCGUAAAUUCUACAGCUUUACCCGUCGUCGGAGUAGUGAAACGAGCGGUGAUACAGUUGGAAAGAUGGAACGGCCUUGUUGACUUUGUGGUUGUGGGCAUGGAUGACUUUGAUGUAGUUCUCGGAAUGGAAUUCCUUCUCGAACAUCAAGUGAUCAUGAUGCCUGCACCAAAUGUCGGUGAUCACGGGAUCUACCCCCACCGUUAUGCAGAUACCCCCACCAUUAUGCAGAUAGAACUCCGGCAACCCAAAGGAUUGAGAAUGGUCUCGACCAUGCAACUGAGGGCCAUAUUAGGAAGACACAAGGCGUGUCGUGGAGAGACGUUGUGAUGGGAAACAGGAUAGUUUGCCCAUGUCAGAAUCGCCUACGAGAAAUGAUCAUCGUAUGGCGCAAUCAAAAUCAUCUGGACUCAGGAGACAGUCAAUGAGACUGUCAGGUGCAGGAUCCACUAGACCUGCGAGAGAUCCGUAUCAAGCACAAGACUUCUUACGGAAGGAAGAGAAUGGACAAUUGUGUGUCAACAACCGUGUCCUAAAGCAAGCCCCGAGGAGAGGGCCAACUUUUGAGUCCGUGAGUGGGACUCAGCCUGUUGAAGCUUACGCUAAGGCAUAUGGUCCUGUGUCAGGUGGCAUCCUAAUGCAGAAUGGACACCCUAUCACAGCUGAGAGUCAGAAACAAAGUGCCGCAGAAGGUAGUUAUACGAUGUUUGGAAAAGGAAUGCUGACCACGAUACGUAGUCUGAAGGAUGGAAGACAACAUUCCCAGGGGUCUACACAUGGAAGAGAGACGAACAACAUUGCGACCAACCGCUUUGAUACUCGGCCGAAGUGGGCUUUGAGUCAAGAAAAGUGGCAGAGGGACGUGUCAAGGAAUCCUUGCAGAAAAACUCUGUCAUUGAAGUUGAUGUAAGUCUGGCGGAGACCAGUCAGGUGGAAGAAAAGAAUGGAGUUCAAUUGUGGAAGCUAACCCAAUCUUAUGUUAAUGCUGCAAUGAGUUCGUCAAUGGAUGGAAACCAGUUUGUGGGUAUUUGUGGCGGACAUUCUGUACAGUCCCUUGUUGGUCCCUCCUAUGUUGGUAAGAAUCCUCAAGCUUGCAACAGUACCAAGAGGUGGAAGCUGGAGUCAGACAUCGUUCGGACCGAUCGAGAGGAAGCCUCGAAGUGGCCAGAAAAGUGGGCAGAUAAGAAGCAUCGCCUCCGUGUUGGGGGAGACCAGGUCAUCGUCAAACGGCGAUCUGAACUGACUCAGUUUUUGAAGAAGACUUCAAGAUCACCGCCUCGUGAGAGAACGCGAGGGACAAACAGAAGUUCAAGAAGUCCUUGCUAAAGAAGCAAGGAAAAGAAGAAGACCCAUGGGGGGAUACACAAGUUCGUGGUGAAGCAGAGGAGCCUCCUCAUGGAAGAAGCCUGUGGAAGACGUACCAAGACUGUGAAGCGUGGAGGUAGAAGAUCGAAGGAUUCCAGCUUUGCCAGUCGACGGGGACGUCAACUGUUUAAGUGGGGGAGUGUGUCACGGACAUAUUUUUCCAAAGUGUGUUUACCUUUGGUUAUAUGCUCCGAUUACCCCUAGUUUAUCUCAUCUUUAGUUUGCAUAACUAGUUUAGCUGUUUGCUUUUCAUUCUAGGUCAUAAAGCCUUGGUGUGCGUUUCGACAUUUUCAUAUGCAAGCCUGCCAUAGAGGAAAAUGUUCAAAAUGUACUAUAGGGGGGCAUACCAGUUGAAUCCCCGCCCAAGCAUUAGUUAUACUCUUUGCAAGCAACCCUUUUUCCUUGCAAUUGACAGUCUUUAAUGUUUUAUCGUUAUUUCAAUGUAUUUCUUUCUUUCCCGCGUUUUAUAAACAAAAUUUCCCUAAAACGCAAACGAAGGUUACGACAUACAUCGACGUUACCCACAACUCUUGGAUAUUGAUCGGCUUACUUGUUCAUCGAGUUAGAACAAGUGUCGCACAAUCGUCCGUCUCGAGGUUGAAACGCUACGAUUGUGACACCCGGCAGCCACAUAGAAUUGAGAAAAGCCUAUGGUUGAGGCAGCAUUAAUUUAUGAAACUUUACACGUGGGAAGAGAUGACUCUUUCUAUUCAAACCUGUAAACAUAGAAGACCGCCUCAAUGAACAAGGGAUCAUUCACAUAGAAUAAAUAUGAACAACGAGAAAGGGAAUAUAAGGUUUGAAUUCAGAGGAAAGCCUAGCUUGAAUGAACAAGGUGAAAAGAAUAUUGACAGCUGCACUUACGAGUCUUUCAGUUACCUUUCUGCCUCUUUAAAGAGUUCAAGGUUUUCUAUUAUCGGAAGAAUCAGAAUAAGAAGAAAAUAGAGAGAGAAGAGAGCUCAGGAGGCGCAAUGAAAUAUGCGUGAGAAGCGCAUUUCCUUAGUGGAAUACUUUGAUAGCGGAAUAAGAAGUCGGAGGCUCGGUCAAGACGAUCUUUUGAUCUAUUCUAAUGGUUCUAAUGGAUAGUCCUUCGUUUUAGAGUCCUACAGAUAAAUCCUCCGGACUGGUCCGAAGGCUAGGUUCAUACGGAUAGUCAGGACGGUUAGUUGGAGCCUUGUUUUUCGAAAUCUUCUUUGAGCCUCAGUCGUCUCAUUGAUAAGGACAUCUUUGCAAAUGAAGAGCGGGAGGUGCAAAGUGCGGCUAUUACUUUGAAAAGAAUAGGAGCUCCGCGGUUUGAAUUGAAUAAAAAGGAUAGGCUGAAAUUCAAAGUGAAUAAGAGGAUAUUUUCAGACAUAAUAUCUAAAGUCAAUGAACAGGGCUCCUAACCUGAUUUAUGGGGAGCCUACUACGUCCAUUAGUUCCGAACUUGGCUCCACUCCUAGUAGUUCGAACUUGGCUUUGCUCCUUCGCUUUUUCUCUUAUUGAUCUCUCUUGUAAUGCUUUCUACUAAGAAUCAAGAAAGCGCAACUUCUAUUGUUCGAACGACCUUGAUUAAAAAACGAUGCUUCCUUGGUCGUGUAGAACAUGGAUUAGCAUUAUUUCAUUCCUACAAGCGAUCCCCCAUCCAGGAUUGGAAGAAGUGCUAUAUGAGGACUUUGAGAUCAAAUAGAAUAUAUUUCUUUCAAGACCUCGUGAGCCACUUAUUUCUCCGAAACAAGAGAGAAAAGUGAUUUUCCUCCUUUUUCUCAAUAAGUCGACGACCUUACACCAUUGGGAUACUUCUUUGAAACUAGAGUACAUAUAGGAUACACCGGUGCUAAAACCUUUUCUCAAAAGAUCUUCCAAACUGUUGGGGUCCUUGCUCCGUAUGUUCUUCCCCCGGUGUGAAAGCAGUUGGUUCCAUAGUUUGAGAAUUCUACUGAUCCCAAGUACUCCAUCUCCAUCAUUGCAUAGGGAAUAUAGAAAGUCAAGAAGAAAAGGCAUGAGCAGAAGAAUUGUGUGAAAUAAGUCAAUUUAUCCAAUUGAGGCAUUCUUUCUUUUUCUUAAGAAAAUUCCCUCUAGACAUAAAUCCUUUCUGUACGAGUAGUGAAGAACUAUAGAGAGCAGUGGUUGGUUGUUGACCAACGAAAAGCAUGGGAGAAAGAAAGAUGUUGGCAAGGAAGCAUCAAAAUAGAUCAAUGAAAGAGGCUCAAAGAAUGAUCGAGGACUAUUUUAGUCCGACUAGAAACUAGGGAAACUAAAGACUAACGAAAUCUAGAUGAGAAUCCGUACAAUUAGUCUCGAGAAAAAGAAGAAAGCAAUAAAAAAAGUGAAGACAGAAAAUGAACCGAAAAUCUUCUUCUCUCAUAUUGAAUUCAUCCUUCUACGCAUCUCCAUGGGCUCGACUGAGAGUGGAGGAGAGGACGGGAAGAAUGAGAAAAAUAGUAAGGCGAGAAGACAGGUUCGAAGGACUAUCCAUCAGGGAGUUUGGACCCCGUAGUUAGGAGCAAAGAAUAUUGCGAAAGAGUCAUAAUAGGUACAAAUCUUCUUAGAUUAUGUUGAAGGAGGCGGCGCAAUUCAAUAAGCGAAAGUCAUGAUCCCUUUAAAGCAGACGUUAGGCGCAAAGAAAGAAGCUCAUUAACGAGAAUGAAAGAAUAAUUCACUCAUUAACGAGAAUGAAAGAAUAAUUCACUCAUUAACGAUAAUGAAAGAAUAAUUCUGAUUUCAUCACCUUGUUUUUACGGAGUUCAAUACUAGAUUGAAGACGGAGGGAAAUCCCAGAUUUUGCUAGGUUUUGGGCCUAUAAAGUAGCAAGAAAUCAUGAAAAAUCAGUCAAAAUUAGACAAUUAUCGUAGCAUAUCAAUAUGAGAAAAAGUAUGAAAAAGAAGCAAAAAAGUCGGAAAAUAGCAAUUCAAGAAGAAAGCCUAGGACAGGGAAAAGAAAUGAACACUUCUAGUUUGAGUUUAUGGUCCGGAUACUGACAGGUCUAUUCAUUAUUCCGCUCCUGAAUAUGGAUAAUCCUACUUCGGUUAAUUACGGAUAGUCCUCCUUCGGUUAAUUACAGAUGGUCCUACGGAUAAAUCCUCCAGACUACUUCAAUUAAUUACGGAUGGUCCUACUUCCAUAUGGAUAGUCGUACUUCAAAUGGAUAGUCCUCCGGAUAAAUCCUGCGGACGUAGGACCUUGGACCUUUCUUUCUUUAAUGGAUAGUCCUCCGGAUAAAUCCUGCAGACUGCGUAGGACCCUGGACCUUUCUUUGGCACUCCGGACGGAUAAAGAAAGGAUAAAUAAAGGCGCAAAGAAUAUUGCGAAGUGAAGCGCAUUUAUCUAAGAAAAGAAGAAAGGAUAAAUAAAGGCGCAAAGAAUAUUGCAAGAGCGGGAAUUACCUUUUCUCUUCGGGUUAGCUAAGAGUUGUCGGAGGCUUGAAGUCGAAUAAUUACUUUUACUUAAAGGUUUCACAAACCUGCAAAAUCUUCUCCAAAUUAGCGUUAGCGUUCUGAGCUAGCCAAGCAGUAUAUUUAAAAUAUAGAAAGAAAAAAAUCCAUGCAAUCCAAGUACACUAAGAACCUACAGCAUCGUCACGCUGCGUGCGGAAGGUUAAUUCUUCUAACUCUGGUAUUAUCGUUGAACAAGCAGUUCACAUUCGACUGCCCACGUAGUGGGGGAAGCUCGCUCGCUAACUUUGCACUUCGGCCAAAAUGCCGAAAAAAGGCUAAGGCCGAAGGAGGUCUGCUCCUUCGCUCAAGGAAAAAUUGCCCGAUUGAAUAUAUAUCUUGGAGCAGAGAGAGGAAAGGAUGACGGAAGCCUCAGUCUCAGUACGAAAGGGGCAAAAAGCUGGAAAAGGCAUACUGGCUUCACCUUGCCCUAGGAUGGGGUCCGUCGGAUCUUUUAAGGCAUAAGCUUAAUGCUGAGACGCACGGGGAUAUCCGGUCAAGGAUGGAUAUUCAAGACAAGGACGAAGGCUCUCCUUCACGCAAGAUGAUUACAAGUCUUAGGAGUGAACUUCCGCUUUACCCUUGUGGUAUCAUGAAGCGAAGGGCAGAGAAAGCGAGCGAGAAAACAUAAAUCAAGGCGGUCGUUGACUUAAAAUAGGCAAAAAGAAAAGACAGAGAGCCUACAGGUUUCUCGAUUUACCCUUCUUCUAGGAUAGAAAAAGGCACUGCCUGUGUGACCACUACAAGCAGACGUGACGAGCGAUGCAGGGCCACCCACGACCGCUAGCAAUACGAGGUAAAGCGGCCAGAAAGCAUACCAUAGGAUGCGUCCUGAGGGUAUUCACAUAAACAUUCUUCGAAUUGUUCACAUUCGGCGGGAUGUUCUUAGCCUUGUCUCCAAGUGAAUAAUUGAAUCGGCACCGACACGAUCGGACCUAUUGCAGCCUUCGGUUGACUGGUGGCAUUCGAUGGUAUGCUUUGAGGCCUUCCCAACCUGCUCCGUGUAAAAAGGUAGAAGGAGGCUCAAAGAAUUAUCGAAGAGCGAGACGAAAGAAAAUAGCGACUUCCAGUCGGUGAUGGGAUAUCUCAAUGUUAUCGCAGAUUCAAAGGCGCAAAGAAUAUUGCAUUGAGGCUCGACUGAAAGGAGAGGCGAAUUUGAGAAGAAAGAACUAUAUCGGAUAAAUACUCAACUGCCUCAGACGUCACUGGGACAAGAGCCGGAGAUUCUGAAACCUCUCGCAGCUUCUUUGCUUCCUUUGGUCUCGAUAUUUGAACCGCCUCAAUAAACAAUAAAUAAGGGUCCAAAAAAUCAAGGUCAUCUGAAACCCUUUUUUUUAUGCGCCUCAGUCCUAUCCAUUAGAACGCCGGCCCUCACCCUUUUUCUUCUUAGUGAGAGCUUGAGCUUUAGUCUUCCGAGUUCUCAAAUUCUUUGACCCUCUGUCUCAGUAUUCGGCAGAGAUGCUGAUGUUAACAAUAAAUGCAGGCUGAAUGUUGUAUGGAAGGAUGAUCAUUUCGGCUUCUUGUAGCCAUUGAUGUUGUCUAAUGCUUGGAGAGACAUUGUUUAAUGUGACUUUGGACAAGGUUACUGAAGAUAGAACUAUCUGGCUUUAGGUCAGUUUUCAGUUGCUAAGACAGUGAAGCUCUUUCAUCUUCCUGGUAAUACUGUCCCUUGGUUCAAGCUUCUUUGGGGUAAGAAGCACAUCCCUAGUCAUGCUUUUCUUUCGUGGAUGGCUAUGAAUAAGAGUCUGAGAGUCAAAGCUAAACUGUACAAUCUUUAAGUGCUUUCGUCUUAUUUUGAGGUUUGGAAGCAAAGAAGCAGAGCGGAGUUUGAUUCCUUAUAUCAGAAAAAGAUAUAGGAAGACUCCCAGAAAGAAGAAAGCCUAGGAGCAAGCAAAGAAAGAGUAAGGAUCAGAAAGCUCCUAACCCCUAUUUAUUUAUGGAUGUGAAUUGAGCGAAGGCGCAAAGAAUAUUGCGAAGGUUAAAGAAUAUUGACUUGAUAAACCUCUAUUUAGCUUCUUAUAUCUGAAGACGAUAAAGUCAGAUAAUCAGCCUCCGGCUGGGUCGGAUCGUCCAUACCUAGUUGAGUAUCUCUGUCCGUCAUAACGAAUUCACUCUUUGAAAAAGGGUCGGGCUUUGUUGGAGUUGACUCGGUGAGUACACUUUCAUCUUUACGAGAAGAAGCGCGAACAACAACUAUAUUAUUCAGCGACAGACCUGAUUUACCCGAUGAGUGGAAUGACUCGACAAAAGUCUUAGGACUCGGGACAGACGCGCCUCCUUCCUGCUAGAACUCAUAGGUCUACGGGGUUCUUUCGGUAGCGAGAAUAGUGGUCCCAAACGGAAUAGAAGUACUUUUGAUUCACUGAAUCAUAAUCUUUGAAAGAAGAAAGGGGGACGGAGGAUCAAUGAAAUUUGAUGAUGAUGAGUAAGCUCUUGCUUUUCUUGCUCCUCUUUCUGAAGUUGCGAGAGGUUCAAAAUAUCCUUAUCAAUGAUUGGAGUGGUUGUUCCGGUUGCAACGUUGCUGUUGGAGUAGAAGUUGUAGCCCUUUCGGUGAGGUGCAAAUGCUCGACCUCGACCCAUUGGCAUUAGUUGAGGAUGCACUAUCCCUGAUUAUUUUUUAGGAGAAAGCCUCUUUCGUCGGGUUUAGGGGAAAAGACUAAGAAUGAGGUCCCCUCCCCCCAGUUGAGGAACGAGGGCAAAAGCGAAGCCUAUGAAGUGAGUAUGAGCUCGUUCGACCCCCAUGUAGCAGGAAUAGCACCAUCUUCUCUCUUUCAUGAGUAGUUCACUGCACUCAUUAGUAGCUGGACCAAGAGGUUAUUCACUCUAUGAUCUCCUGGACUGGAAUAGGCGCUCUCCCAUAGCAAGAGGGAGCUCGACGUAGUCGGUCUUUCGACAGUCACAGUAAUUGAGAGAAGCAGCUGCCCGGGAGAGGGAGGUAUCGGAUUAGGCACGAAGAGAGGAUUAGUCGAAUCGACUGUAAGAAGAGGCAUCCGUUCUUGUGGCAGUAGCAGUUGCAGAAGUUGAAUCGUCAGUGGCUGUUCUUGUUUAAGAAAUAGCUGCAGCUAUUCCCACCAAGGCCUGACGAUAGGCUGAUUUCAGGAUUUCCUAUCCAUCCUCAAAUUCUUUGAGCCUUUGUUACAAGAAAAUACUCUUUAGUGACUCAAGAAUACCCUGUCUUAUGGCACCUCUCAUCUGGAGCCUUUGUUUUUAAACAAGUCAAAUUCUCUAAUGGAUAGCCUGAAUUCAUGAAUAUUGAAUUGAACCUACUAAAAUCAAAGGAAUAAAGAAAGAGCUCAAAAGGAGUCAAAAUGAGAAGUCCGAAACCUCAUCACCUACUCCCGGAGGCAAGGUGAAAUUCAAUAUGACGAAGUCUUAUAGUUGGGUCUCAUCCCCCCAUAAUCAAGUAGCAUCCACUAAAAAGAGCGGAGCGCGGAAGGACGAGGCGCAAUUGAAAUAUGCCUGAAUGAAUCUACCCUUUUUAGAUUCGACUACUCCGCUACGUGGGCUUACUAGUAAUGCUGAAGUUUCCUCCUUUUCUAGCUUUCUUUCUAAUGCCCUUCUUUAUGGUCAAGUGUAUGGUCACUUCCCCGAGGCGCGGAUCCCACUACACGGGAAUAUAUUAUGAUAUAAUGAACUAUCUUCUUUCUAAUAGCUGGUUUCAACAGCCACCGGGGAGGAGACAAGAACUCAAUCUACUGAAACAAGGUUUCAACCACAGCGAGAGCAUACCUCAAAAAAAUAAGGAAGAAAAAGAUAAAGGCGCGAAGCAAAGCCUAUGAAGUCAUAAGGGCAAGGGCUUUCCGUGAACUUUCUUAUGAUGGGAAAUCCUUGUUUCAUUUGCGAGACACAUUUCAUUCGUAGAAAUACCACUUCCUACUUCCUCAUCCCGACAAUAAAGAAAGCACUACGCGGGACAAAGUAGAUUCCCAAACUAAAAGGAAAGACUAAAAUCAAAGCUCCAGAUGAGUUGAAUUGAGGUGCAAUGAAAUAUGCCUUUCAGCAGUGUGCGAAUUCGCUCUUUCGGCUGAUAACCUUUCGAUCCAGAAAGCACUACGCGGAAGUUCCCCACUACGCGGCGCGAAGCGACUGCCCACUUUUUGAAAAGAAAUAAAGAGCGCAGAACAAGGUUCAGUUAAGCUUGAUAAAUCAGUCCUUCGCCUAAGAAUAAGGUUCAAAGAAUAUUGAACUCAUGAAAUCAAUAUCCCUGUCUUAUGGGGCCUUCGUAGCUUAAUAAUGGGGAUCUGGUUCAAUUAUAAGGCUCAAAGAAGAUUGAGAAAGAAUAUUGCAAAAUCAAGGCGGCAAAGAAAAGGUGAAUAUGGAUUCGUACGAUUAGACUUGACUGAGAAUGGAAUUGCUUUAGCUAUCUUUUUUUUCCGUCUUUCAAGGUGGAAGCUAAAUCAGAAUAGUUUCUAGUUGAAGGCAAGCAAGCUAGGGUUGGUUCGUAUUGACAAAGAGCUGGACUUCUAAACUUUCAAUGGGUACUGGAGUACUACUUUGUCAAUCGAUGCUUAAUACUAUCUUUACGCAAAUAAAGGCCGAAGAAUGAGGCUAAGUCUUCUAUUUAGUGGUCUCGCUUUGCACCUUGCUGAUCUCAUUUCAAAAAUGCUUCGCCUGCCUCUUCUUGGAUUCCGUGCACGAGUAAGUACCCGUAAAUCGUAAAGAAAGAGGGGGGGUAGUUACCUGCUCUUUCAUCGAGAUUGGCGAAUUACGGUAGAAGAUAGAAGAGGUUCGAGGAUCAAAGUAUUUGAGCUUUGCUAUUACUUUCAUGCUCCUCUUAGAAGGAAGAUAAGCACGAUAAGCUGGCCUAUAUCAUUGCUUAAUUCAUGCUUUCUUCGUACUUCCGGAAAGAAAUCUCACUCAUUUCAUUCUAUCACAUAAUGAGAACUCUAGAAAAGAAAUUGCUUACUUCAUGCUUUCUUCGUAUUUAUUUCCAAUCCAUCUUUUGUCUAUGACGAUCGGUACGAAAGGAAGGCAUGCUCGCAGGGGAUUCUUAUUACUAAUAGAUGAUAAGAUAAUACGAGAAUGAAAGAGGUCGAGCGCCUCACCUCUGAGUCUGAUUGUUGGAGUAGUCUGAUGACUCCCACUGGUCGUCUUUCAACUCAUUAAAUCCCCUAUCUUUUAUGGCGGUCUUACCGGAAUAUCUACUUUAUAGAAUUCCUAUGAGACUAAGAAACAAACUGAGACCUCGUAGUCUUCCUGUUCCCGGUCGAUCCUAUGAUCGAUCUCAUACAAAGAUCUCAUCUCAUCGACUAAAAAGACUCUUUCUUCUUAGUUUGAGCUUGAGGCGCGUCCAACCCACUACGCGGUAAGCUUUUCCUCUUUUCCUCUCACUUCAAGACUCAAGACCUUACCCGCACCGAGUCAAUCCGAUCGCUACCUUUCCGGGUCGUAUUCUAGUAAUUAAUUUCAUUAAUAACUCAGAGCGGCGAUCUAAAUACUUCUUCAGCAAGAACUUCGAAGAAGGUAGAGGAACUGAAAUGGAUUCACUUCCGCAGGCAGCAUCCCUUUCAACGACGACUCCCCGAGAGACCCGCUUCAAACUUCCGAUUUAGAAAGAAGGUAUCUCAGUCUCUUACCGCGUAGUGGGCUGAUCGUGAGAGAUGGAAUCUUCAACCUCUUAUGGAAAUGUGUCCAGCGGAAGUAUUUACGUAAGAAAUUGAGAACCAGGCGAGAGGAGAGGGGUGAGGAUCGAGCGCAUUCCCUAUCGAUCAGCAUCCUCAACUCUACUUCAGAGCUAGAAAGGUUUCGGAAUUCAGAGGCAAGAGCAUUCCUUCCUCUUCUUUAGUCAAGUCAUUUCAUUCCAUUUCUCACUAGGUCUAUAGAAAUAGUUCAUGGCCACUAGGUCUCGUCAUAUUUUUUCUCAAGAGAUGAGAAGAAAGUUCCUAAUAGAAUAUGUUUGAAUAUCUCAACUAGAAAGUCUCGGAUUAACUCUUCCCAUAGCGUAGCCGCGGCGGAAAAGGAAGAUUUUCAACAGUCAAGAGAUCAAUCAGAAGGGAGCGGAAGAAUGGAUAUUGUCUUCGAUCUUGCGAUAAAAUGAGUGAGACCAUAUGCGAUCUGUCUCAAACAGAGAAUUAGUAAUCUGAGUCGCAGGGAAUAGGUUGAAUAGUCCGGAGGACGGGGAGAAGAAAAGAGAGGUUCCGAGGUUCAAAGAAUAUUGGACAAAGAAUAUUUCAUGAAUUGAGGUGCGGUAGUCCGUCCGAAGGACUAUGAAAUCCAUUAGUUUUCGUUUGCACUCCUUUCUUCUUUUCUUAGAUAUUCUGGGAUUGAACUCCGUCUGAAAUCUAGCAGAUUCAUUUUUAGCUUCUUUCAUUCUCGUUAAUGAGCACUUGAACUGUCUUUCUCAGGCGCAAAAAAUAUUGCCGAGAAGAGCAAAGAAGGAAUGGCGAUCAGAAUUGAGUCCUUUCAUACUUUCGUUGAGGAGGAGGAGUUUUUUCUUGUAUCAUAUUAGGAUAUUUUAGUAGAAUAAGAAGAAGAAGAAGAUAAGUACGUAGCGGGCUUUUCUUAUGGCGGAGCGGAGGAGUCCGACUAUCCACUGAAGAAAGUAGGAAAGCCUAAGGAACCUAAAAAGGGCUAAUAGGGGAAGGAAGAAAGCCUAUCCCUCCAGAAUCUUUGAGGACCGAAGGACUUCUUUAUAUCCCUAUUUAUUUAUUUAUGGGACUCCCAGAAAGGUUUAGUUCCAUAAAUCAGUCGGCUAAUAUAUAGGAUGAAAGUAGAUAGAGAGGAAAAGAAAAAAGUCGUCACUCUUAAGGAGUGCAAGAAGGAAUCUUUGAACCUUUUAUCCUGAUCUCUCUCAUUCUACAACUCAGUCGAGCCACUAUUCAACCUUCUUUUCGAGGGGACAUCAUGUCCUCUUAUCUUAAUCCCAUAAAUCAUUUAAGGCGAUACUGAAAGAAGAAAUCCAGCAACUUAAUCCGGUAGAGUCAAUUCGAGACUAAGACGAGUUGGGGUUUCGACCAUAGGCUUUCCUUCCAAACCUACUAUACUAAACCUACCCCCGGACUCAAGGCGCGAAGUGAAGCGGCUGCCCACUUUUUAGAAAUAAAGAGCUGAGAUAAUUCUUUUCACUCAUUGAGGUCGGCUAAAUUCAAUGGAUAAAGAAGUCCUUUGCUUCAUUCUAUAUGUCCUUAUCAAUGAGACCAUUAAUCAGUCCGAAGGACUAUCCAAAGAAAAGAAUAUCCCUGUCUUAUGGGGCCUCCGUAGCUUAAUAUGGAGCGCUCCGGACGAGUCUUAACUAAUAUUCCCAAUCAAAGAAUUAUCGAAAGAAUGAUCGACGAGUCUUAUUCCACUAAAAUAGUAGUCCUUCGGAGCAGUCUUAAUACUCCUAAAAUCAAAGCUCCAGAUGAGUUUCAUUCCACUAAAAGACGAAAGAAGGUAUCUCAGUUACCAAAGAGAAAGAGCUUCCACAAACCACUUCCACAUAAACUUCUGCUAAGUCUACUUCUGUUAUUGAUUCAACUUAGCCUUUAAUCAGAUUAGGACCUAGCUAGCCAACCUUAUUCCUUCCUCUUCCUUACUUUGUUCUCGCUUGCUUCGGCAACACAUCUUUGGAUACUGGAUAAGCUGCAAGAGAAAGACUUCUUCCGAUCGAUCAGCUACCCGAUUCCUCCUUCCCCGAUGAUAAGGUUAGCAGGCCCGAUCCUCUCCUAUUGAAAAAGAAAGCAGAAAUCUUUCAGUCCAGAGUAUUUAUCCGUAGCCCGGAGGAUUUAUCCGUAGGACCAUCUGUAAUUAACCGAAGUAGUCUGCAGUCUGAAGUCCGCAGGAUUUAUCCGGAGGACUAUCCAUUAGAAGUAGGACCAUCCAUAUGGAAGGAAGUAGUCCAGAAUCCGCAGUCCGCAGGAUUUAUCCGUAGGACUAUCCAUUUUCAGUCGGACUAUCCAUAUGGAAGGGAGCGAAAUCUAGCUAUGAGGACUCUUUGAGCUCUUCUUUGAGUCAGUGGCUGCCCUUCCAGAAGGAGCAGCGAAGUCCGCGGUUUCAGAGGUUUAUGUAGCAGUUCUUCUUUAAUAAGAUGCUUACUUUCUUUCGGGUAGAAAGGUUCACUCGUGAACGCACUACUACAGAAAUUGGUUUACUUGACGUUAAUACAAUGUCAAGUAAAUGUAUACUUGACGUUUUUAAAAGCGUCAAGUAUUCGACUGUCAAGUAUAGUUACAUUACUUGACACUAAAAAACUGUCAAGUAUACGUUUACUUAACACUGUAUUAACAUCAAGUAAUCGACUGUCAAGUAUAGUCACAUUACUUGACACUAAAAUAUUGUCAAGUAUACAUUUACUUGAGACUGUAUUAACGUCAAGUAUUAUAUCAUACUUGAUGUUUAUUACGUGUCAAGUAAGAUCAUACACAUGACGCCUUUUACAUGUCAAGUAAAGUCGUAUACUUGUCAAUUUUUGCACUUCAAGUAAGAUUGUAUACUUGACACUAUGUAUCCGUCAACUAAGAUGAUAUACUUGACACUAUUUAUCCGUUAAGUAAAAUAGUAUAUUUGAUUCUAAGAUAGUAUACUUGACAUGUAUCUAACGUCAUGUAUACCAUUUAUUAAUAUAUUAAAUAUAUAAAAAAUUUCAUUUCCUGUUUUCUGUAUUACGUACAUUCAUUUCAAUAAAACAUAUUCAUCGACAAAAUAAACUCUCCAACUAGUAGUUACACAAAAAAUAAUUUAGUAUAAGUAAACCAACAAUAAUUUUAUUACUCUCAACAACAUCGUCAACAAUUACACAAUUCCAAUCCAAUAUAGUCAACUAAAAUUUCCUAUAUGUGGCCUAUUCCAAAAUCAACAAAAUAAUUAUCUUAUAUAACCAAAAACAUGUGUGGUAUACCAAAACUAAAAUCUAUCCCUUUACAUCUAUUGCAUGUACAUAAGCAUAAUAGCUAUGAACGAAACAUUUACAAAAAAAAAAAAAAAAAGUUAUGGGCAUUCCCAUAUAUUAGUCAUUCACAAAAUUAAUAAGAUCACAUCUAAGGAUGUCUAUCAUAUGUACAAAGCUAAAAAUUUAGCCCACUCCGCUCAUACUUCAUCCAAUUCAAGCUGUGAGUAGAAACUCUUGUAUCAGUCUAUAAAACAUAAAAAAUCAAGUAGACAUUUGUUAAAAAUAAAAAUUAAUCAGAUAAGUAACUUAUUUCCAUCAUAAAAAAAUAAUCCCCUUGUAAAAAAUUCUACAUUGUAAGGAGGAUAUUGUAAACCUAAACAUGAAUAUUUAAACCUAUAUGAAACUAAGUACAAACAUAAAUUAGAAAACCUACACUAAAUAAAUAUUGUUAAUGCUCAAAAACAGUUAAAAAUUAACUUAAAGAAUACCGUAUAACUUAAGCAAGUUUCCCAGAUCAUAAUACACAAGAGUACCUAUUCAACUGAGUUAAGUGCUUCAACACCUCCCCGCAUCUGCAAAGAAAAACAUUACAAGAGUAAAGGGAGAGACAAAAAAACGAACUUCCUUUGAUCUUCUUACAACAUUCACAUUUAUCAAGCUCCACUAAAUCACUAAUAAACCAAGAGGACACUAUUGCUUACCUAUUUAUUGCAGAGAAUCUGGGUUCAAGACAAAAAGAACAAAAUAAUUAUACACCAAAUAUUUUGAAGAUUAUUGAAUAGAAAUGUGUAUAUUGUUCACGUGAAAAUUUCACCUACCAUUCUGCAAAUCAAAACAAAUUCUUUGAAUGAAACCAAAUCAUCGAUGAACUCUCACCACCCUGAAUAAAAAACCAACGAAAUCAAUCAAAGAAAACAAAUACAUUGAACUCAAAAAACAAAAAAGAAAAACUCUCAUCCUCUAACAUUCAGUAGUGAACGAAAAAGGGAAGAAAAUCAGAGGGGGGCGGCUUUUCGGUGAGAAGAAAAUCAGAAGGGGGCGUGUCCAGUGAGGAGAAGGGAGAUCGAGAAGAACUCCAGUGGUGAAGAAAUUCGGUGGGGGCCAUUCCACGUGAAGAAAAUCAAAGGGGAAGGGGGCUUUUCGGUGAGAAGAAAAUCGGAAGGGAAGGGGGACACGUUCGGUGAGAAGAGGGGGGCGAGAAAAGAAAUUUGGUGGAGGGUCGUCUGACGUGAAGAAAAUAAGAGGGGGCUUUUUAGUGUGAAAAAAAUCGGAAGGUUGCGUGUGAUAAGGGAAGAGAGGCAGCAUGUGAGAGAAAAUAGGAAAAAGGAGGGAAAAUGAAAAGAGGGAAAGGGUUGGGGAAAAAAAUUUGGGAAAUAAGUUAGGUUUUUUUAGAAAUAGAGAAAAAUGGAAAAUUUAGAGAAAAAAAGAGAAAAAAGUUUUAGAACUUUAGGAUGAAAAAAAUAAUUGGAAAAAAAAGGGAAAAGUUUUUUUUUUUUUUUAGAAAAUAGAGAAAAUAUAUAUUACUUUUGAUAUUUUAAUAAGUUUAUUGUAAUAAUUUUAUUUUAAUUAAUUAUUUAAUGAAAGGAGGGAAAUAAAAAGUAUUUUAUAUUUUUAUACUUGAUAAAAUAAAAAUGUUAACUAUACUUGACGUUAUUUCUGCAUCAAGUAAACAUUAACUAUGUUUGACGUGAAAAAAAUGUCAAGUAAAAGUUGAACUAUACUUGACACUAAAACACCGUCAAGUAAAUUCGACACUAUACUUGACAUGGAAAAAAUAUGAAGUAAAAGCUAAUGUAAGAUAAUUAAAAAAUUUCAUGAAAAUUUUGCUUUCUUUAAACUAUACUUGAUGUUUUGUUCGUGUCAAGUAAAAGUUCAUUAUACUUAGCGCAAAUAAAACGUUAAGUAAAAUCUCCCUUAUACUUAACGAGAAAAAAACGUCAAAUAAAAGCUAACUUAAAAUAGUUUGAAAAAUUUCGUAAAACUCCACUUUUUAAAAACUAUACUUGACGUUUUUUCUUUAAAAUGGUCAAUACUUGACAUUUUUUUAAUAAAAACGUCAAGUAUGUAAAAGUACCUAGUGUCAAGUAAAGUAGAUUUUGUAGCAGUGACGGUACACCUCUUAUAUGAUGCCUGGGGACUUUGUCCCUUCUUCUACGGAUUUCUCUUAUAUGAUCUUAUUCAUCUCCGUAUCGUUCAUAUAUUCAUUCUAUAAAAUCCCUAGCUGCCACAGAUGGUCGAACUUGCCUCUUAAGUGGCGUGGGUCGAUCCUCUUGUUGACUUUUACCUAGGAGUGGGGGGAAGAAGUUCGAGAAUAAUUUCUCUUCUUUCCCUGUCCCAGUUCUUCUUUCCACUUCUACUUAAGUCACCACGACUGAUACAGAUGCAAGAACAUCAGGGCGAGCAGGGAAGAGGCGGAGGGAGUUUGCACUUUUUCAUGCGGGUUUGAGUGAGACUGAUGCGCCCUAGGUCAAGCCAUUGCUUCGUCUUGUUCAUCACAUUCAUUAUGUUCACAAUUCCGGAAUCAAAGUAGAAAUACGAGAAAGCGCUCCAGCGGACUCUAAUUCAUUGGGAAUUCUAUCUUCCCGCCUCAAUGAACAAGGUGAAAAGAAUAUUAAAUGAAUCAUUGAGUUAAGGCGGUGGAACCUAGGAGUGGGACCGGGAACAUGAUAGGCUUCAAUCUAAGAAGUGAAUAUAGUAUUGAAAGAGGCCCACGGAGCGAUGUCCGACUAUCCUACUAUCGAAGCCUUGAAGCAUGAGUCUUGAGGUUUUCAAAGUCUACUCAGAGGACGAGGUUGAAGUUUCAUAGGGAAAGGUUUCAUAACAAGCAGUUGUUUUCCGUAUCGAAUGCUCUUUCAUUCCUUAUUCGAAAGAAGGCAAAGAAAGUGGAAACUAAAUCCUUGGAUUCUUUCCCGCUUGAACCAUGAAAGGUUAGGCCUUAGUUACGAUCUCAUUCAAUGCCCUAGCAUACUCAAAGGUUCGGGGCGUAGUGGAUGGAGCUAGAAGACUACUACUUGGACGAGGGAUUUCCUUUCUCUUAUUGUAAUACUCCUAACCACCCCUUUUUGAAUGGGCAGGCCCCUCUGGUCGAGUUUACCCUUUUUAUUCAGGCCUAUCUGCCUCCGUUCAUGAAGGACAAAAUCGGAUUGAGCCCUUGUUCAUUGAGGCGUAUAAGCCCACGUAGCGGUGCCAUAAGACAGGUCUGAAGGCGUCACAGGUCCGGAGGACCCGUCUGUCCGAAGGACGAGAUAUUUAUAAUGUUGAGAGAAAGAUUAGACUUUGUCAGGACCCUUAUUUCCGUUAUUUUUCACUUUCAAUAUUCUUAAGAAUAUUCAUUCAUCCGACAGAGCAAAGUUCAUCCAGAUCCCCAUAUGAAUUAGGCGAAGGACUGAUUUUCAAAGUCAGAGCUAUCCCUCAAAUUCUUUGAGCCUCUGCACUCAAAUUCUCUAAUGGAUAGUCCUUCAGACCGCUAGGAGUAAAGAAUAUUGUGUGGAACUGAACUAAUAUGGAAAAAGCAUUUCCUAUUGAUUUCUCCCCUGGACUGGACCUAUUCUGAUUCUGAAUUAUCCGUCGCUACGUUGUUCCCAUGGACUAGCAAAAUCGAAAUAGCGAAAUUCUUGGGUCAUCUCAAUGGGUUCAGAAACCACACGUUUCUCUGGAUCAUCAUAGCGUACUUCCACAUAUCCACUCAGAGGAAGGUCUUUUGUAAUGGAUGACCCUCGAAACCAUAAUAUGUUGAUAUACGGCGUAGAUCCGGAUGAUUGAUGGAAGAAACACCAAACAUAUCCCAAACUUCUCGCUCCCACGGCCGGCUGAUGGAAAUAGACUGACUACCGGAGAGAUUCGUGUUACUUCGUCUGCACUGGUUUGUACACGAAUGCGUGAGUUAUACCGAGUACUCAGUAAAUUAUAGACCACUUCAAAUCUGAGUUUUCUAUAUAUAUUUAUAUUGAUGUUAAUAUGUUACCUUGUAAUUGGAAUGGUGAUUUGAAUAAUCUAAUAGGAUUAUGUGUUUGGAUCAAAAUAUGUUGCAAGAGAAAUAGCUAAAUGUGUGGAUUUAGUGACAAAGAGGGUAUUCAUGUGUUUAUUUUAGUUUUCUCAGUGAGGACUCGAUUUUUAGAAGAAACGACCACUGUUCGAAUCAUUCAAAACUUUGUUCCGAACAAAAAUUUUGGACUUUGUCAUUGUCCUCUUCGUCGAAUGUGACAAACUUGAAGACAACGAUGAAACAUUGAAAGAUUACUUGGAUCGAAAAUGUCCUGUGGGGUUGAAAGAUACCAUAGCCGCUAGCAAGAACUGUUGCUUGGUUUUCAAUAACAAAACCGAUAAUGAAACAAAGAAGAUUGAAUAAGUGGAUAAACUUAUAAAGAUGGUGCAUGAAGUUGUACAACAAAAUGAAGGAAAAGCAUACACUCAUGGCUUGUUUUCUAAUGUCAAGUUUGAGACCAAGUUGCAAGAUGAUGUGAAAACCAAGCUUGAACACACAAUUACAGUUCAAAACACAAGCAAAAUUUAAAGCAUAACAAGGAGCACAAGAACUUCAACAACAAUCUAUUGAUCAAAUUCGAGUCCUCAAAGACCAUCUAUGCAUCAAGACUUGAAAGGUCACUGUCACUACCAAUGCUUCCACAAAUUAUUCGUCAUGGUCGCUGCAUGAGAAAAGGUUGCAUUAUUGUAUGACUUUACUGUGCAUGCAUUCAAUAAAUAUGUACAAGUAAUUAGUAUAAUGAAUAUAUACUAAAUAAAAAUAUGAAAAAACUGUGAAAAAAAACUUAUUUGAUUAACUGCUAUAAAAAUUAAUAUUUGAAAAUUGGCAUGUGUUCUCGAAACUAAUAAAAGCAAGUUUGGAAAUGCCUUUAUUUUGUCUUUGUUGAGUGUAGUGUAAAUUGGCAAAUAUAGAAUGCUUAAUUAUGUUGUUAAUUAAUAGAAAAUUAUUUUAGAAGUUUUGAUGAAUGUCCAACUACAUGUGGAAAGAAUUAUAAAGGAUUGAAAAAUGAUUCUAUAAUCUAGCCCAAACAAGAGGUGGGUUAUUAUAGCUCACUUCACUUCUAUUUAGUUUGGGACCCAAAUAGCCUCUUAAAAUUAGGUUAACUCCAUAACUAAUAAGGGUCUUUAACUCAUAUAGUCUAAAUGCUAUAUGAUAUUACAUGAAUGAUCCAAAUUACUAAUAAAUUUCAUAAAAGUCCUAAAUGGACUAGUAUAUUACAUAAAUGUAGGCUCAAAUUACUUUAAUACCAAUUUAUAUUAUUUAAUUGAUUUAUAACAAAUAUCUAAAUGAAAAAAACCGUGGGAUAUAGUUUUGGAAAGAAGUGGGGUCCAAAUUAAUUUAAUAUCAACUUCUAUUAUUUAAUUUAAUUGAUUUAUAACAAAUAUCUAAAUGGAAAAAAUGGUGGAACACCGUUUUGGAAAUAAGUGGGGUCCAAAAUAAUUUAAUACAAAUUUUUAUUAUUUAAUUGAUUUAUAACAAAUAUCUAAAUGGAAAAAAUAAAGAGAUACAGUUUUGGAAAGAAGUGAAAAACUUUUCAUGCUUUCCUACCACGAAAAUGGUUGUCUACUCCUUUCAACGUGGAUUACGAUUUUUACUUCAAAAUUUUAGAGAGUUCGGAGGUGAAGAAGAAGACAGUCGACGACCGACAAAUACAAAACUUCUCGAACAUAAUCUAGUUAAAAACUUUGAAGUUAGUAUUGUAUAUAUUCAACACAUAUGAAACAUUAGAUAUAUUAUGUAUAUUUUAGAUAUUCAAUUAAAUAGUCAAUCAAAUGAAAAUGUAGUUUUGAAUGUGAUACAUUUUAGGGUUUAUUGAGAUUUCGGCGGUGAAGAAGAAAACUUUUGAUGGCCAAAAAAUACAAAACUUAUCCGACAGAAUCUAGCUAGAAAAUUUGUGCUUAAUAUUAUAUAUAUUCAAAACAAAUGAUUAGAAACAUUUAGUAUAUUAGGUAUAUUUUAAAUAUUCGAUUAAAUAGACAAACAAAUGAAAAUAUAUGAAACAUUUGGUAUAUUAGGUAUAUUUUAAAUAUUUGAUUAAAUAGACAAACAAAUGAAAAAUUAGUUUUGAAUGUGAUACAUUCUAGAGUUUAUUAAGAAUUCAACGUUGAAAAAGAACGGUCAUCCUAUCAAAAAAAUAAUAGAACUAUAUAUAUAAUAUGAGGUAUAUAUAUAUAAACAUAGAACAUAACUAUUAUAGAUUACGGAUAUAUUAAAGUAUAAUGUAAUCAAAUACAUUUAUAAAGGAAAAAUAUGUAUGUAUGAUCAUGUCGUUUACUACCGUUUUAGUAAUAUUUAUUCUACAAACACAAAUUAUGUAGGAAUUAUGUAUAAGGUAUUAUUGUAUAUAAUAUGAGGUAUAUAUAUACUAAAUAACAUAUAUGAAUUAAAGUGUAUAUUUUAUUAGUGAAAGGUUCUUAUAUCAAUUUGUUUAUGAUUUUUAUUUAAAUAUUCAUAUAUUAUGUAGUAAAUAAUACGUUAUGUUUGAAAUAAUAUUGAUUAUGUAUUAAAGUUGCCCAUUAGACAGUUUUUUAAUAAAAUAUACCUAUUAUAUUAAUAUAGAAAAUGGGAGGAAAUCGUGCAACAUUAAAAUAGGAAACUUCUUUACCAUUUUCUCACUUUCCAUAUUCAACGAAAAGCUUGCCAUUUCGACAGUCAAUGACAUAUACAACAUAUUAUAUAAUGCGAUAAUAUUAUAAAACUAGUAUAAUCAUAAAUAAGAUGUGAUAUAUAUUUAAGGGAAAUAUUAAAAAACUGAUAAAUUCAUAAUAGAAUAACGUUAAAAUAAGGAGAAUAUUGUUAAUAUAUAAUAUAUAUACGCAUAUGAUAUACUCAUAAUGAACUAAUUUUAAAUGGGUAAAAUAACAAAUGACAUAUUUAUGUUAUUCUUCAUAUAAAACAUCAACUAAAAGUAUUAUAUCUCACGGUUAAUAUAUAAAACUAUUAUAAAUGUAAACAAGAUGUGAUAUAUAUAUAUAUAUAAUAAAUCACAUAUACAACCUAUUAUAUCAUCCGAUAAUAUUCUAAAAUUAGUAUAAUCAUAAAUAGUAUGUGAUAUAUGUUUAAAGGGAAUAUUAAAAAACUGGUAAAAUCAAAAUAGAAUAACAUUAAAAUAAGAGGAAUAUUGUUAAUAUAUACUAUAUAUACGCAUAUGAUAUACUCAGAAUGAACUAAUUUUAAAUGGGCAAAAUAACAAAUGACUGUGGAUUUUAUCUUAUCUUCAGGUGAUGGACAAUUGUAUAUGACGGCGAUUUGUUAAGAUUCUGCAGCUUACGGUUAUGAUAAAUUUGAAUACAAAUUUAUAAAACAAUGUAAUAAGAAGUUCAAAUGAUGGAGAAGAAUAGCAAAAAAAAGCUGUCGGCGAUGGAGAAGAUAAUGUAAUGGCUGCCAGAGAGAGUGAACAAUUAGGUUAAGUUAUAUUUUUAGAAAGAAUAAUUAAAUAGUUUAUUACAAAAUAAAGUAAAAUUACAAUUAUUAUAAUAUAUUCUGAUUUAUAAUUAAUUUAAAAGAUACUUGAAAUUAUUAACAUAUUAAGGUCUUUUGUUUAAAAGUUUCAACUAAUAAUAAUGAUAGUUCUCAUUAACCAAUUGACAAAUGAUUGAUAUUGUCAAAUAAUCGAUAUUGUCAAAUGAUCGAUAUGUGCAAGUGCACAUUUCAAUUAUAAUAUAGUAAAACGUUCUUAGAGAUCGAGCUAGUAUCCUUUUAAGAGGGAUCAAAUUAACAAAUUAAUUUAUUGAUUUUAGGAUUAGAUGUGUUUUAAGGAUAAAAACAAUGAUUAGAAACUAAUAAAAGAUCCCUAAAAGACAAAUAUGAAAUCUCAAAGAAUAAAAAAUGCUCCAAAAUUGUAUUUGAUUUCACUGUUCAAUCCAUAAAAUCAUGAUGUGUAUAGGUUAUAUGAAAACUAGUGUCAGUAUGUGUUCAGCUCAAGUUGUUGACUUUUGAAAAAAAUAUCUUUCCAUUCAAACAUAUACAUAGUUUGGUUGGUAGUUUUUCUUCAAAAUUAUUAUUUUGAGAAAACAAAUACAAUUUCUUUUUUAGGUAAUCCAAUAUCCUCGAGUAUAUUUAAAUAUGGAAAUAUUAUUUCCAUAUUAGAAGAGAUACUAAAAGAUCUUAUUAUAACAUCAUUAGAGUCCCAUCAUUUUCUCUAAAUAUCUCUUUUGUGGUGAAAGAUUUGGAAUUGCACAUCAAUCAUUUUGGAAUGGGUAAUUGAUCACCCUAUUUUUCAAAAAAUAAGAAAGAUAAAAAAUAGUUAUUUUUUUUAAAGAUAUAUUUGAAAGUGUUGAGUUUAUGGAAGGUAUUAGUACUUAUACAACCACAAACAUUUGAUUUUUGUUAUCUAAAUUAUUUUAAUAAAAAUGUUUUUUUUUUUUUGAAGUUUAUGCUUAUUAAAAAUGCUUAUUUAAAAAAUGUUAAUGAAAUUUUAAAAAAUAAAAUCUAAUUAAACACUUCUGAGAUAGAGAGGUUUCCCUUGACUACCCGAGCGUAGAUAAACACUUCUGAGAUUUGGUUGGUAAUCCCAAGUUCGUGUGCAGUUGAUUAUUUUUUAAAUUUUGUAUAGUUGAAUAAUAUUUGAAUUUUAAAUUUUCAUCUAUGUGAUAUUUACUCAUUUCAAACUUUUUGAAUAUGCAUGUUUAUUUAUUAUUCUGCCGUCUCUCUAUUGUAUUUUAAAAUUUAGAAUAUGUGUAUUUAUAUUAUUUGAAAUUGAAAAUUUAACUUUUGCUCUUACAGUAGGCUUUAACUCUUUGUUUGUCCGUGUUGUAGGUGAGAGAGAAGGAAAAGUUCCAUUGUUUGAUUGAAUUGGAAUUGUUUCGUGCAUGGGGUGUCAUACAUAAUUCCACUUAUUACUAGUUGAAGGUCUUCUUUGCCUCUGUCUUCUUCCCCAUCUCCCCAAGUUGUUCUAACCUUUUUAUAUCUACCUAUUACAUGUCAAAAGGUUGUUUCGCUCUUCAAUGUUUUGAAACAAGUUCAUUAUGAAAAUCUCUCACAAGCAAACGUCAUGUGCAUUAUGAAUAAUUUCAUCUCAAAAAAAUUGUUUGAGAGGUUUCAAAAGUGUAUCGAAACUAAUAAUUUUAAUGAAUAAAAAAAUAAUUCUUCGUUAGAUUCUUACAUUUUAUUUCAACGAAUAAAAUUUAGGAAAAUUUUUAAAAAUAGCAAAUUUUACAAAAAUAUUUACAAUUUAUAACAAAUUUAUAGUCAUUGAUAUGCUAUAACGAUAGUUACUAGUAAAUAUUUUAAUUUAUUUUGUUAUUUUUAAAAAUGCUCAUAAAAUAUUAUAGUGAGGGAACAAUGAUGAAUCACAUAGUUUUCUUGUGGUGAUGUCGCUUUUUAUCCCUCUUUACAUUCUAAAAUCUCAAAUACAAAUCAUAAAACAAGUAGAUAUACAUUCAAUUAACAUGAUUUUGAUUCUAAUAAAUUAGAAAGACAAAAAUAACUAACUAAUUAUGGAAAAGUAAUAUUUUAACAUGAAUUAUUGAUUUUUAAUUAGAGGUAAUUUUAAAAUAAAUAAAAUAAAAGAAAAUAUUACAAAUCAAAUCUAAACUAACUUUGAUUUUACUUCUUUAAUUGCAAUAUAACAUAGAUACAUUGGCUAUGAAGUGCAAUUUCUUAUAUUAUAAUAUUUAAAAGAUUUAAAUUUAAAAAUAAAAAUAAGUAAUCUCAAGUCCAAUAUUGGACCUGUGGGGCUUAGCCCAUCAAUUUAAAAAUUCAAAAUGCACACUCAACGGUCACAUUUUCCUAGGAUCAUCCUAUUUAAUGCCCUUCUACUUGUCAACUCCAUCGAAAUCCUUCAUUUCUUGUGGCACCGUCUAAAAUUUGCUUCGAUUGAAGAAAUUUUGACGCCCAUGACAGCGUUGAAAUUUCUUCAAUGCAAACAAAUUUUUUAUCUUCCUUUCAUCGAGGAUUUUCAUACCAUGUGAAGGAGAGAUCAGUUCCAUCAGUUCCAAGUCGUUCGUGAGUCAUCUUCUUUCCUGUGUAGUUUCAUCUCUUGAUUUUGGAUUGCUUGUUCAAGAUUUAUUUUCGAAUUUUGGAUUGUUUGCUAUUCGGAUAGGCAGAAGGUUUGCACGAUGAUAGAUCUGGAGUACCUGAAUCGUUUAUUGAUUCUGUAGUUUAAUCUUAUGAUUUUGGUGAUUUCGAAGCGUACAAUAUAAUCGUACUGUGUUAUGAAGUAAAUAAGAUUUUGUAGGGUUUUUGAAAGUUAAUUUAGAUAUUUCCUGCAUUUUAGUCUUGAUAGAUCUGGGUACCUGAACCGUUCAGGUUUGCAUGCUGUGAUUGUGUUGUUCUUUUUUGAUUUUGGAGAGAGUCCUUGGGUAAUUUUGAGGAUUGUUCUUUUUUUAGUUUUUUUUUGCAUGCAUUCAAACACACGCAUGGUUUUUAAACUGGGGUUCUUGAAUAUUUGUUGGUUUUCUCGAAUAUUUGCCGGUUUUUUUUUCUCAGAAGAAUUGAUCUUAUAUUUGUGUAUCUCUCUGUGCAACUUUAAUAUAAAGUUAUUAAGGAAGAAGAGAAAGGAGGAAGAAGGGAGAGAGAAAAGGUAGAAACGACCUAAUAGUAGGCAUGAGUAUUAAGAUGCAGCAGAGCCACCACUUAGUGGCGCUAAGGUUUAAUGAGCAAAUUGACAGUAGAAAAGGGUCCACAUCCAUACCUAAGUUACUAUUGCUCUGGGUUCUGUUGGUGGCAUUCAUUAGUAUGUUAAACUACAAAGAAAUGGAUGGGUGGUGUUAACAAAGUUAGAAGAAAGUAAGUUCUGGGAAGUAUGUGUGACCAGACGACAAAGAUGCUUCUGCCUCAACUUAGUGUCAGUGUCAAACUAUGUCCAGGCUUUGGCCAUUCUCAUUUCAUUUCCAGUACUUCAAAAUCGUAUCAGCAAUUGAUCAGGAAAAUGUGUUUCGAUUUCUGUCUUUUAUUAGUCUCGGUUAGUUAGGCUUAAGAGUAAGGGAUAUAAUUCAUUUUUCUUGUUUCAGCUAGAAAUUACGUCGAUGUCUUGAUUUUUAGUUUUUUUAGGGCUGUUUGGUUGUUUUUUUAGGGGUGUUUGGUUAGUUAGGCCUAAGAAGUAAGGGCUAGUGAAAGAGAAGCAUUUGAUUGUCCUACAAGUAUCUGAAUCGCCAAUGAAAGCAGAGGUUAUUUCCUCUGAAUUUCCACGAAUUGUUCAGGUUUGGAUUCUGUGAUUGUGUUGUUCUGUUGUUCUCUUUUUUAUUUUGGAGUGUUCUAGGAAAUUUUGAGGUUUGUUAUUUUUUAGUUUUUUUGGCUUGCCUUUAAUCACGCUCGUUUGGGAAUAGACAGGCUUCAGAGAAUGAAUCUCCUUUUUAAGGGUUCGUUGGGAGCGAAGUGACCAUAUGGCAUCCCUUUCUGCACCUGCUCAGUCUCUCUCUUGCCUUUUUCAUACUACAUAUUUUUGUUUCUCAAUUUAGUGUCAGUGUCAACCAUGUCUAUGCUUUGGCCAUUCUCAUUUCCACUUUCCACUACUCUAAAAAUGUAUCUGCAAUUGAUCAGGUAAAAGUGUUUCAAUUCUCUGUCUUUGGUUCAUCUCCGUUAGUUAGUCUUAAGAGUAAGGGAGAUAAUUCGUUUUUCUUGUUUCCCUCCAUGUAUUGAUUUUUAGUUUUUUAGGGAUGCUUGGUUGGUUUGAAUGCACGAAACAUUUGCUGGUACACGAUUCAAACAGCUUGCCCAGUCAUGUUUUUCUAUUUUUUUUUAAUAUUUUGGAAUUUUGCAUGUGUGAUUUCUGUAUAUAUUAUUCUUGCCCUUUUCCUUUAUCAUCAUUUAUUUUGAUUUUGGAGAGGUCUCUUGGUUAUUUGUUAUUUGCACAUAUACAAGGGUUGAAAAUUUCAAUCCCACCUCUCUUUUAUAUUACAUUCAUUUAGUUUUGGCUGUUAUCUAAUUGAACUAUUUGAUCAUCAAAUAAUUGUGUUACCUUUUCUUCUAGAUGUUUAGAUUCAUUUUUCUCACUAUUUUAGUUUUCUUAAUGUGUGACAGUCUUUGUUUUUUAUUGAACUAUUGUGUGGCAGUCUUUAUUUAUUGGUUAUCUUUAGUUUCACUAUUGUUCUUUUUUUAAUGUUUUCUUAGUUUUUAAUAAGUGUGACAAAAUAUGAAUUAAUUUUUUUCUUUGAACAAAUGUGGAAUUUAUUUUCUUUUAAUGUAGUUGUGUCCCCAAUAAAUUUAUUUUGGCGAUUUAACAAUCCAUCAUGUUCUUUUUCAUUUUUCUGUUGUAUUUUCUUCGGUUCUUUGUUGUGGUAUGUCUAUUUUUGAGACAUUCUUAAUUUAGUUUUAUUUCUUUUAGCUUCCUGCAUCAUUUUGUAUUAUGGAUUGUUAUGAAAUUUUGAGAUUAUGCUUUAUUUUGUUUUUUGGUCCUUUGCUGUGAUGUCUUUUGAUUAUUUCUUUUGAGUGAACAGUUCAUGUAAGAUUUUCUGCAUGAGAAUAAAUUGAUUAUUUAAUUUGGUCAAAGAAGUUCAAAAUUUACAUGUGAAAUUUACACUCAGUGGCUGUAAGGUUUAAUGAGAAAAUUGGAAGUAGAAAAGAGUCCACAUUAAUUCAUUCAGCCAAGAGGGCUUGGCAUCCUAAGUUUGCUCUGGGUUCUGUUGGUGGCAUUCAUCAAUAUGUUAAUCUAUUAGGGAAUGUAUGGUUAUAACAAAGUAAGAAGAAUGGAAGUUCUGGGGGAGUAUUUGUGACAAGAGGGCAAGGAUGCUUCUGCAUCAAUUUAGUGUUAGUCAAUCAUGUCUAUGCUUUGGCCCUUCUCAUUCCACUUUCCACUACUACAAAAAUGUAUCUGCAAUUGAUCAUGUAAAAGUGUUUCAAUUUUCUGUCUUAGGUUCAUCUCAGUUAGUUAGUCUUAAGAGUAAGGGAGAUAAUUCAUUUUUCUUGUUUCAGCUAGAUGUUACCCUCCAUGUCCUGAUUUUUAAUUUGGCUUCCUAAGUGUGCUCUAGGUUCUGUUGGUGCAUUCAUCAGUAUGUUAAUCUACAGGUGAAUCUAUAGUUAUAACAUAGUAAGAAGAAUGGAAGUUCUUGGGGAGUUUGUGUGACAAGAGGGCAAGGAUGCUUCUGCAUUAAUUUAGUAUCAGUGUCAACCAUGUUUAUGCUUUGGCCAUUCUCAUUUCCACUUUCCACUACUCCAAAAAUGUAUUAUCUGCAAUUGAUCAGGUGAAAGUGUUUCAAUUUUCUGUCUUUGGUUCAUCUCAGUUAGUUAGUCUUAAGAGUAAGGGAGAUAAUUCGUUUUUCUUGUUUCAGCUAGAUAUUACUCUCCAUGUCUUGAUUUUUAGUUUUUUAGGGGUGCUUGGUUGGUUUGAAUGCAGGAAACUUUUGCUGGUACACGAUUCAAACAGCUUUCCAUGUCAGGUUUUUCUAUUAUUUUUCUUUAAUAUUUUGGAACAUGUGUAAUUUCUGUAUAUAUUAUUCUUGCCGUUUUCCUUUUUCAUCAUUUAUUUUGAUUUUGGAGAGGGUCUCUUGGUAACUUGACUUUUCUUUUAGUUUUGACUGUUAUCUAAUUGAACUAUUUGAUUAUCAAAUAAUUGUGUUACUUUUUGUUCUAGAUGUUUAUAUUCAUUUUUCCCACUCUUUUAGUUUUGUUAAUGUGUGACAGUCUUUGUUUUUCAUUGAACUAUUGUGUGGCAGUCUUUAUUUAUUGGUUAUCUUUAGUUUCACUAUUGUUCUUUCUUUAAUGUUUUUCUUAGUUUUUAAUAAGUGUGACAAAAUAUGAAUUUAUCUUUUUCUUUGAACAAAUGUGGAAUUUAUUUUUCUUUUAAUGUAGUUGUGUCCCCAAUAAAUUUAUUUUGGCGAUUUAACAAUCCAUAAUGUUGUUUUUCAUUUUUCUGCUGUAUUUUCUUUGGUUCGUUGUUGUGCGAUGUCUAUUUUUGAGACAUUUUUAAUUUAGUUUUAUUUCUUUUAGCUUCCUGCAUCAUAUUGUAUUAUGGAUUUUUUCGAAAAUUUGAGUUUGAUCUUGUUUUCUGGUCCACUGCUGUGCAGUUUUUUUUUAUGAGAUAUUUUUAUUUAGAUUUAUUAUCUUUUAGCUUGUUUUGCAUUUUGCAUUAUAGAUUAUUUUUUAAAAUUUUGAGGUUGUUUUUUUUCUUUGAUCUUUUGUUGCGGUGACAAUUUUAAUUUAGAUUUAUUAUCUUUUAGCUUGCUUGCAUUAUGGAUUGUUAUGAAAUUUUGAGAUGAUGCUUUAUUUUGUUUUUUGGUCCUUUGCUGUGAUGUCUCUCUAUAAGACAUUUUUAAUUUAGGUUUAAUAACUUUUAGCUAGCUUGCAUUGUGGAUUGUUAUGAAAUUUUGAGUUUCUGCUUUCUUUUGAGUUUUGGUGAUGCCUUUUUACGAGACAUUUUUAAUUUAGGUUAAUUUUUUAGGUUGCUUGCAUUUAUGGAUUGUUCUGAAAUUUUGACUUUCUGCUUUUGUUUUUUAUGUCAUUUGUUGUGUGAUAUUCUCUUUAUAAGAUAGAGAUAUUUUUAAUUUAGGUUUACUAUUUUUUAGCCUGCUUGCAUUUGGUAUCAUAUAUGAAUUGUUCUGAAUUUUGAGUUUCUUCUUUUUCAGUCAUUUGUUUGCGAUAACUUUUUAUAAGACAGACAUUAAGAUUUAUUAUUUUUGGACUUGUUUGUAUUUUGUAUCACGGAUUGUGGUUUUUUAAAUUCAGAGGAGGAACUAGAAAUUGUUCUUGUGAUAUGUUAAAAUCUAGUUUACUGCAAAGAAUGAAUUCUAAAACAGAGGGUAUGAAUUCGUCAAUAAUUUUUCUCCAUUUCUGCGUUGAGCAAUGUUUAGCUGAUAUGUUUGUGUAUUCUUUACAUUAGUGCAGCACCACAUGCUAAUUUAGGUGUGAAAUGCUAAUUUAGAUGUGAAACACUUCCAAAGAUGACGAGAAAUCAAAGAUUGUCGUAGUAAAAAACCUCACCAGUUUUUCCUUUCAGGUUUUUCUUUUCUUUUUCUUUAAUAGUUUGGAAUUUUGCUGGUGUGAUUUCUGCUUUUCUCUUAUCAUUUAUUUUGAUUUUGGAGAGCAACUUUGGUAAUGUUAAGGUGAUUUAAGAAAAGUUGGUUGUCCAAGAAUCAAUAUUUUUAUAUUACCUUAAAUCUUCCUAAGACAUGUUGGGUCUUUCUUUGGCCUUUGUUAGUGUCUUCUAUUAAGUCUGUUAGUUUCACUUUAGUUGGGUCUUUUUUUAAUUUUAUUUUAUCUUUUAAAUUCCAAAUCCUACUCAUUUGGUCAUGACGAUUGAAUAAUCAUUGUUAAAUUUAUUUCUUGUUGGGAGUGUAGAUUUUAUUUUCUUUUUGGCCUUUGUUAUUUGCAUCUAUACAGGGGUUCGAAAAAUUCAAACCCUUCCCUCUUUUAUUCGACAUUCUUUUAUUUUUAUUAUGUACUAUUGGAUUGUUAAAAAAAUUGUGUUACUAUUUCUUACAUUCCAUAAAGAACCCUUUCUGAUGGAUUAUUUCUUAUUGAACUGUUUUAAAAUUUUGAGUUUCUUCUUUUUCUUUUUUGGGUCCAUUGUUGGGGGAUGUACAUCUUUAAUUUUUUUUUUUUUUUAUAAGAGAUGAUACAUCUUUAAUUUAGAUUUAUUAUCGUUAGCUUGUUUUGCAUUUUGUAUUAUGUUUUUUGAAAUUUUGAGUUUCUUCUUUUUCUUUCUUUGGUCAUGUGUUGUGCGAUGUUAUUUGCAUUAGGGGUGUUUGGUUGGUUGUUUUUUAGGGGUGUUUUGGUUAGUUAGGCUUAAGAAGCAAGGGCUAGUGAAAGAGAAGCAUUUGAUUGUCCUACAAGUAAUAAGCUUCUCCUCAAUCAUUCAACCAUUUUUUUAGUAAAGAAAGAGGCUUCUCCUUUGGCAACCAAAGUCCGUCCUUGGUCAAUAUAUAUCAAAAUAAAUAAGAUCCAUCUUUGGUAAUUUUUUAAAAAAUUAAAUCUAUAAAUACUCAUUUCAUCUCUAAAAUUAUGUGAUUUGUACUUUCUAAAAUUCCCUCGAUGGUACUAAUACACUCUUAUAUUUGUAUUGUAAUUAUCAUGUCCUUUUUCUAUGGUUUUUUAAAGUUAAUUUAGAUCCUUAUUCGCUCUAGGUAUAAGUUGAAUGGAAGAGUUUUUUAGCCUUGAUAGAUCUUGAGUACCUGAAUCGCCGAUGAAACAGAGGUUAUUUUCUCGGAAAUUCCACGAAUUGUUCAGGUUUGGAUUCUGUAAUUCUGUUGUUCUUUUUUUAUUUUGGAGAGUGUCCUGGGUAAUUUUGAGGAUAUUAUUUUUUGUUUUUUUUCGGCUUGCAUUUAAUCACGCGCGUUGGGGAAUAGACAGGCUUCGGAGAAUGAAUCACCUUUUUAAGGUUUCGCUGGGGAGCGAAUUGGCCAUAAGGCAUCCCUUUCUGUUCAGUCUCUCUCUUGCCUUUUUCAUACUAUAUGGUUGUUGAUAUGGGGUUAUUGAAUGAUUGUUGCUUUUAUUUUCAUAAGAAGUGAUCUUAUAUUUUUGUCUCUCUGUGCAACUUUAAUAUGAGGUUAUUAAGGAAGGAGAUAAAGGAGGAAGAAGGGACGGAGAAAAGGAAGAAAUGACUGGAUUGUUGGGAUGGGUAUGAAGAUGCAGUAGAGCCACCACCUAGGGGCUGUAAGGUCUAAUGGGCAAAUUGAAAGUAAAAAAGAGUGCAUCCAUUCAAGCUAAGAGAGCUUGGGUUCCUAAAUUACUAUUGCUCUGGGUUCUGUUGGUGGCAUUGAUUGGUAUUGUUAAUCUACAAGGGAAUUGAUGGUGUUAACUAAGUUAGAAGAAAGGAAGUUUUGGGCGUAUGUGUGACCGGAGCACAAAGAUGCUUCUGCAUCAAUUUACUGUGAGUGUUAAACUAUGUCCAUGCUUUGGUUAUUCUAUUUUCUACUUUCCACUCCUCUCGAAAUGUAUUAGCAAUUGUUCAUGUAAAUGUGUUUCGAUUUCUGUUUGAUACUUCUCAGUUAGUUAGGCUUAAAAGUAUAGAAAUUAUCUUGAUGUCUUGAUUUUUAGGGUUUUUUUCAGCGGUUUUUGGUUUUUGGUUUUUUUUUUGUUGGAUUUUGGCUAGUUAGGCUUAGAGGUGCAAGGACUUGUGAAAGAGAAGCAUUUGAUUGACCAACGAGUAAUUAGUUUCUCCUCAAGCAUCCCACCACUUUUCUAUUAAAGAAAUACAGGUACGUCUACGCUAUUACUUUUCAUGUCCUUUUACUUAAGAUAUUUAUAUAAAUAUAUAUAAAAAUAAAUAAGAUCCAUCUUUGGUAAUUUUUUUAAAAAUCAAAUCUGUGAAUAUUCAUUUCAUCUCUAAAGUUUUGCGUUUUGUUACUUUUUAAAAUUCCCUCCAUGUUACUAUUACACUCCUAUAUUUGUGUUGUAAUUAUGAUGUCCUUUUUCUAUGGUCUGUUAAAGUUAAUUUAAAUCCUUUCUUGCUCUUGGUUUAUGUUGAAGAAAUGGAAGAGUUUUUUAGCCUUAAUAGAUCUGGAGUACCUUAAUCGCUCUUGCAUUUUGUGAUUCUGUUCUUUUUCUAUUUUGAAGAGUGUCCUGAGUAAUUUUUAGGAUUUUUAUUUUAUAGUUUUUGUCGCUUGCAUUUAAACACGGACUUGGUUGUUGAACUGGGGUUCUUGAAUAAUUGUUGGUUUUGUUUUCUGAAGAAGUGAUCUUAUAUUUGUGUAUCUCUAUGUGCAACUUUAAUAUGGGGUUAUUAAGGAUGGAGAUAAAGGAGGAAGAAUGGAGAGAGAAAAGGCAGAAAUGACUUAAUUGUUGGGAUGAGUAUGACCCCAUGUCUAGUAGUUCCCAAGUAUGAUAUAGGAAGGCAGAGAGUCAAGGCCUUGUCUGACUCUAAUAGAAUUAAGUAGCUAACGCAACACAAUAUUCUUUGCACCUUCAGUCUGUGAAUCUGAGGAGCAAGAGUUUGGCCAGAGGAGCUAGUCUCGUAACUACGGGCGCAGUUCUAGUUCUUUACAAGACAGAUGGGAACUGUAGCUAACAAGUGUGCCCUGAGUGGAUUCCUACCACUACUCUUUCUACUAUAUUGGCAGGACGGGUGCCAAGUUAUUAGUAGCUAGGCAGCUAAGCCAGUAGUAGUUCAGUUCAGGUGCUGUUCCCAAACCUAGUUGACUACGUUGUAGCGUAGCGGUACGGGACAGAAAAAGAAUUGAUAGCGGUACACUGAACACAAAGAAAUUUGAUAGACAUAUGUUGAGAGUUCGACAAGUAGCACUGAAUCUACUAUCAGUAGUGAUUUAUAGAAGUUGACUCGCUUAAACGAAGAGAGUGAACAAAGCAUAGCGGAGUGAAGAGAGAAAUGGUUUCAUUAGAUAGCUCUCUCGAUGUCCUUGUUAUCUUUCCUAGGUAGAUUGUGACUUAUUCAUUCUUUCUCGCUGACUCUAGUUUCCCCGCCGUGGAUCCUUUCUCUGUUAGGCGCUGUAAUUUAGAAUUCAGAAACGUAUCUGUCUUAUUAUCUUUGAGUCAAAGCAAUGUUACAUAUUUAUAUAGAUAAUAAGCUAAACCCUAGAGACUAUGUAAAAUUACAAUAAAGGACAUAUGUAUAUAUAUAUAUAUAUCAUAACACUCCCCCUCAAGUUGGAGCAAAUAUGUCGAUCAUGCCCAACUUGUUGCACAGAUAGCUUAUCCUUGUUCCAUUUAAAGCUUUAGUUAGAAUAUCUCUCAAUUGUUCUCCGGUCUUCACAUAUCCUGUGGACACCAACCCAUCUUGGAUUUUCUCACGAAUGAAGUGACAAUCCACCUCAAUAUGUUUAGUUCGUUCAUGAAAUACUGGAUUAGAUGCAAUAUGAAGUGCAGCUUGAUUAUCACACCAUAAUUUAGCUGGCACGGUAAUACUGAAGCCUAUCUCAGAUAAUAGUUGGUGAAUCCAUACUAUUUCACACACAGAUUGUGCCAUAGCUCUAUAUUCUGACUCAGCACUCGAACGAGAAACAACAUUUUGUUUCUUACUCUUCCAUGAAACUAAGUUUCCACCUACAAAAACACAAUAUCCAGAAGUCGAUCUCCUAUCCUCACGAGACCCCGCCCAAUCAGCAUCAGAAAAACAUUCAACUCUCGUAUGUCCAUGAUCUUUGUAUAGGAUCCCACGUCCAGGAGCAGCUUUUAGAUAACACAAAAUCUGCUCUACUGCAGCCCAAUGAUCCACUGUAGGGGAAGACAUGAAUUGACUUACAACACUUACAGAAUAUGCAAUGUCUGGUCGAGUCACUGUUAAGUAGUUCAACUUCCCAACUAAUCUCCUAUAUCUCUCAGGAUCUUUACAUAAUUCUCCUUCUUUAACAAGUUGCUGAUUUGGCAUCAUUGGAGUGCCACUUGGUUUGGUGCCUAAUUUUCCUGUUUCAGACAACAAAUCAAGUACAUAUUUUCGUUGAGACAAAUAAAUACCUUUCUUGCUUCUCAUCACUUCAAUGCCCAAAAAAUAUUUCAAUUGGCCCAAAUCUUUUGUAUAAAACUGACCCUGAAGGAAAGUUUUGAGAGACGAAAUACCCAAUGCAUCAUUUCCAGUAAUAACAAUAUCAUCAACAUAUACAACUAGUAGAACUAUACCCUUCUCAGAUCGGCGAUAGAAAACUGAAUGAUCAGAUGUACUCUUCUUCAUACCAAAGCAUACAAGGGCUUGACUAAACUUACCAAACCACGCACGAGGACUCUGUUUCAAACCAUACAGAGAUUUUCGAAGGCGACAUACUUUAUCACUCUCCCCCUGAGCAACAAACCCUGGUGGUUGUUCCAUAUAAACUUCCUCUUGAAGAUCACCGUGAAGAAAAGCAUUCUUAAUGUCAAGUUGAUGCAACGACCAUUUAUUGGUAGCAGCCAUGGAAAGAAAUAGGCGAAUGGAAGUUAACUUGGCAACCGGAGAGAAUGUAUCUGAAUAAUCAGUGCCAUAGAUUUGAGCAUAACCUUUGGCAACAAGGCGAGCCUUUAAACGAGCCACUGUUCCAUCAGGAUUCAUCUUGACAGCAAACACCCAUUUACAACCAAUGGCCUUCUUUCCUGCAGGACGAGAUACCAAAUCCCAAGUAUCAUUAUCAUCUAAAGCAGUCAUCUCCUCAAUCAUUGCAUUUUGCCAGCGAGGAUGAGACAAAGCUUCAUGAACAGAGUUAGGAAUAGAUGUGGACUCAAGAGACGUAAUAAACGCAUAUGUGGAGGGAGAUAACUGGUGAUAGGAAAUAAAGGAAGAAACGGGGUAAGUACACUUGCGUUUACCUUUGCGAAGAGCAAUGGGAAGAUCAUCACUUGGCGCUGGAUCACAUGAUGAAGGAAGCAUUGAUGGAGGACAUGAGUCUGAAGGUUGUGGUGGAGGUCGUCGGGAGUAGACUUGAGAAAUCAACGGGCGGGAAGGAGGCACAUCAGUAGACAAGGAUGGUGUGGGAGAGGUAACCUCAUAUAUAAAAAGAUUGUCAUCCUCCCCCUGACACAAACUCGAUGGUGAUGAAGUAAAGGGUGUAUCUUCAAAAAAGACAACAUCAGGCGAAACCAGAUACCUUUUAAGGGUAGGACAAUAACAACGAUAACCCUUUUGAACACGUGAAUAACCCAAGAAGAUACACUUCAAGGAUUUGGGAUCUAACUUAGUAUGAUGAGGACGAACGUCACGAACAAAAGACACAACCAAAUAUCUUAGGAGCAAUAGGAAACAAAUGCUUGGUAGGAAAAAGAACACGAUAGGGAAUCUCACCAUUAAGAACAGAGGAAGACAUUCUAUUAAUCAAAAAACAAGCUGUAGAGACAGCAUCAACCCAAAAGAUUUUUGAAACAUGCAUUUGAAACGAUAAAGCACGGGCAGUUUCAAGUAAAUGCCUAUUUUUUCGCGCAACACCAUUUUGAGAUGGAGUGUCAGCACAGGAAGAUUGAUGAAUAAUGCCAUUUUCACACAAGUAAGAGCCAAGAGAAUGAGAAAAAUAUUCACCCGCAUUAUCAGUACGCAAAGUUUUGAUAGAGACAUUAAAUUGGUUUUUUAUUUCAGUAUGAAAGGCACAAAAAUGAGAUAAUAACUCAGAACGAUUUUUCAUUAAAUAUAACCAAGUUAGACGAGAAUGAUCGUCAACAAAAGUAACAAAAUAACGAAAGCCUGUUUGAGAUACAACUGGACACGGACCCCAAAUAUCAGAAUGAACUAACUCAAAUGGAGCAAUUGCUCGUUUAUCGACUCGAGGACUCGAACUAAGACGAUGAAAUUUCGCAAAUUGACACGAAUCACAAUUUAAAGAGGACAAAGACCUAAAUUCUGGAUAAAGUUUCUUCAACACGAACAAAGAUGGAUGACCUAAACGACAAUGGACUUCAAAAGGAGAGGGAACGACAGGACACGCCACAGCUUGCGAUACUUGAUGAUCAAAGAGAUAAAGGCCUCCUGACUCAUAUCCUCUACCAAUAAUCUUCUUCGUCACACGAUCCUGAAACAAGCAAUAACCAGAAAAGAACAUGACAACACAAUUUAGGUCAUGAGUAAGUUGACUAGUAGAAAUUAAAUUAAAGGAUAAGUUAGGCAAAUGUAACACAGAAGAGAGAAAAUGAUGGGGUAAGGUGAAUAGUGCCAGAGCCAAGAACAGAAGAUGUGGAGCCAUCGGCCAAUGUAACCGAUGGAAAAGGGGCAGGGGACAACGGUCUAGAAAAUAGGUGAGAAUUACCUGUCAUAUGAGCUGUGGCACCAGAGUCUAUGACCCAUUUGGUAGAUGAUGUAAGAAGACACUUUAUAUUACCUGGGGCAACAGUGGAUGCAAUCGGAGUAGAGGAAGAUGACGCUUGUAAUGACUCUUGGUAAUUCUGAAACUUAGCAAACUCAUCUGCCGAAAUAGUAACUGACGCCUCUGGUAUAUCACAUGUGGAGGCUAUCUGAGCAUGUUGAGAUCGUUGACUAUUCUUAUAUAGCAAUUUCCGACAAUCACGUUUCAUAUGGCCUGGCUUACGACAGUAGUUACAAACAAUCUCUACAGACUCUGGUUUUCGAUGAUCAGUACUAUUCCUCUGAGGUGCCCGAGGGUUAUUGUUCUUGCUAAAGAGAGCACUACUGGGUUGAGGAAUAGACACACUAGUCGGAGAGCUUUCAAUGCGAAGGACUCGAGUGAAGGCAUCAUCUAAUGAUGGAAUCUUGGAGUCAGAGAGAAUCUGUGUCUUUGCCAUUCCAAAUUCAGGUAAGAGUCCAUUCAGGAAAAUCAUAACAGCCAUCUUCUCUCGUUGAACUUGUUGAACUUUAACAUCAGGACUAAAAGGUAACAACAAGCCAACUCGGCAAUGAUCUUCUUAAGACGCAUAAAGUAGCUGGUGACAGACUCAGCUUUCUGUUCCGCACGAGAAAAUUGCAUACAAACUUCAAACAUUCUAUGCACUUGCUCUUUACCUGAGUAUAGAAAAUCCAAAAAUUCCAAAAGUUCUUUAACAGACUCACAGUGAUCAACCAAUCCAAUUAUCUCACUCUCAAUUGAAUUCUUGAUCUGAAGAUAUAAACGGGCAUCAUCACGAAGCCAAUCCUUCUUCUGCUUUGCAUCUUUUGGGGGAUCUUCAGUCAUAUGAUCAUCCAUAUCAGUACUUCUCAAAUAAAAUAAAAUUGUCCGACGCCAAUCGUAAUAAUUGGAUCCAUUUAACUUAUGUUCUGUGAUCUUAGAGGCCAAGGGAAUAACGUUGGAGACUACCAAAUUUUUUAUGUCGGCCAUAUUGAAGUCACACGUUGAUUGUAGUCCACUCGAACAAAGAGAAAAUCAAUCCAAACAGCUGCAAAAUUGGAAAAAGACACAAAACCAAUCGUGUAACCUUCGGUUUUCGUCAAACCCGAAUGUUAUUUGAUAGACCCAAUGGUACAGACUGGCAGGAAACAAUGGUUCGAGACAAGCCCAGAAGACAGAAGACAAAUCGGACUUCUCACGCGCUCUCACGCGCCUGUGUGGAUGAAGGUGACGAUGAUUCCGGCGGCGCGUGACGGUCACGCGCGGUGUUUUCCGGCGAUCGGCGAAGACAGACUUGGGCGGACGGAGGUGGUGCUUCUUAUGGUAUGGGCGGUGUCGACAAAUGGUCACCGGAAGGUAACCCAAACUUCAAACCUAAUGGAGGGCUCUGAUACCAUGUAAUUUAGAAUUCAGAAACGUAUCUGUCUUAUUAUUUGUUAAGUCAAAGCAAUGUUACAUAUUUAUAUAGAGAAUAAACUAAACCCUAGAGACUAUGUAAAAUUACAAUAAAGGACAUAUAUUACAUAAUAAUAUAUAUAUAUCAUAACAAGGGCCUCCCCUAUCCUUAUUCAUUGAUCGCUCUCUUUGCCGCGAAUCUCGGCAUGGUGGUUCUUCGCCUCGCAAUAUUCUUUGCUCCUCCUUCCUGGGCUUGAUUGGUACAUCAAGCAUAUCGGCAUUUUGCUUCUUCGGUGUGGUACAUAUAUCUAUCAAUGAAAAGAAAGUAAUAGAAUUCAUUCCCGCGUACUCGCAUAUUGAAUUGCGCCUUCGGACCAUCAAAGAAAGGUCCAGGGUCCGAAGUCCGCUGGAUUUAUCCGGAGUCCAGAGAAUUUAUCCGUAGGACCAUCCAUAUGGAGGGAAGUAGUCCGGAGGAUGUUGGAAUUUUUUGUCCUAAAACUCGUAGUUUAUAAAUCAUAUUCUGUUCAAUAAAGUUGUUAUUGAGAAAUUAAAUAUUAUAAUCUUAAAUCCAAUAAAUCAAGUUCCAAGGCUAUUUUUGAAUAAACUUGAACUUUAUGUGUAAACAUAAACGUGGAUCAAGUUCGAGUAUAUAGCCUAAAUAGUCUAUAGUAUAUGAAAUAAAGGUUGGGUGCCUUAUUUAGGGAAACUAUGGAUGCGGUCCACUUUGUGGUACAAACGAGGUGAUCCUAAUCGUUCAUGUAGAGACAUGAAAGUGAGGGCAUUCUAUGUAAAAUGUUUACAUAAGACUGAACCAUGAAUUAGUUUUUUUUACGUUAUAACACCGUUUACUGUUUAAAACUGACUAUCUCAACAUUUUGACUUUUUACUAAGAAAAGUCAAAGUUUGACUUUUGACUAGAAAUAUCUAAUGACCAUUUUACCCUUGGACUAAGUUAGUGGGAAAAUCCAACAUUUUGUUGGAUAAUCCCACUAACUCUUAGUGGGAUAUGUGGCUAUAUGAGAUAUAGACACCUAGCCCACUAAGUUCCACUAAUUGUUAGUGGAACAUUUGGUGUUGAGAUUUGGCAAAAUGAAUUGCAUGCAUUUUUGCAUGUAAUUAGGUUAUAAAUAGAGGUGUUUUCAAAUGUUGAAGAACUUUUGCCUCUUUUAUCAUUUUCAUCAUCUCAACCAAAUAAAAAAAAAGGAAACCUUCCAAUCCCAUUUUAUCUCCAUUACUUUCUACACCAAAAUUGGGUCCCACAACCCGGUUCUUUGUCUAGAGGAUAGCAGUUGAGUACUAGUGGUGGUCUCGGUUAGAAUUGGUAAGAAGAUAUCAAACCUUUUGAAAGCUUCAAAGGUAAUAUUUCCUAAAACCCUAAUUUGAUUAAUUUAUGGUUACAUGUUAAUUGUGGCAAUUAGGGUAGAAAUUCGAUUUUUUUUCCGCUGUGCAUGACUUAGUUCUAUCAGAGGAUUUAUUCGUAGGACCAUCCGUAAUUAACAGAAAUAGGACUAUCCAUUAUCCUCCGUCCGGAGUCCGCAGGAUACUUAUCCGUAGGACUAUCCGUAAUUAACCGAAGUAGUCCUCCAGAAUUUCUGUAAUUAACCGAACUUUGCACCUCUUGACUAUGAAUCAUAUAUAUUGAUUUUGACCGGAGCAAAGAUCAUUGCCCACGGAGCGGCGCAAAGAAUAUUGCGACCUGUGGAUUCAUUGAGGCGGUGAAGAAUUGCCAUUUUAUGAGCUUGUAAAACCCCUCCGGAGGAGAAGGAUAGGGGAGCAAGGUUCAAAGUGGUUUUCAAAGUCAGAGCUAUCCCUUAUUAUUGAGGGCUUUGACCACCUGGACACUUACCUACUCAGUCGCAAGGAUCAAAGAAUUUGAUUGACAAAGAAUAUUGCGAUUUUACCGAGUCCUUCGUCUCGCAAUAUUCUUUGCGCCUUCGAUGAGUCAGGUUAAUAUGGAUAAGUCCUUCGGACUGAUAGCGUCCAAAAAAUAGGCGAGGGCGGGCGGGCUAUAAGUAGGCCGUUUGCUAUUGCUAUAAGGGCUGCUCGCCUUUAUACGGCUUGGCUUCGCUAUCGCUCAUGACUUGUAUUUGUGGUCGGCCUAAAAAGUAGUCUUCCUACCAUAAAAAAAUGCCUAUUAUCUAGUUCGUUAAGCUUCGCCAAAAGCAAGAUGAGGGCGCUUUGCUUCGUAGACAAGGCUCGUCUAGUACUUGACUUACGAGUUCGUGUAGGACUUCCCCCUCUCUCUAAAGGGGCUUAUGCACAGAACUCCUUGUCUACUAAAGAAGCGUUCGAGCGAGCGAGUUCAGCCUGAAAUUGAGUGGUCUCCCUCCUUUUCCCUCACUGAGAUAUUAUGUCUUUCAUUUCCACUUAAGCUUCCCCGCUUUGAGGGAUUAAUUGAUUGGAUACCCGAGAACCAUAAUCUUUCCUAGGAACUGCUUCUACGACGAUAGGUGUAAAGGCAUGAUUAGUUCCACAAAUCUCACUGCACUGACCAUAGUAAACUCCUUCUCAUUGUACCAAAAUGGAGAUCUGAUUUAAACGACCAGGUACAACAUCACAUUUGACACUUGAGGAAGGUACAACCCAACUAUGAGGUAGAUCAGCAGGUGUUACAAUAAUACGUAGAUGAGUUUUGGCUGGUAGAACCACUCUAUUGUCCACUUCUAAUAAACGUGAUUGACCCAAUUCUAGAUCAUCUUCUGGAAUCGUAUAACUGUCAAAAGUGAGUGACUGUUCAUCGGAACUGUUAUAGUCAGAAUACUCAUAAGUCCGAUACCAUUGAUGUCCAAUAGCUUUGAUAGUCAUGGCUGGAUCUACUACUACCUCGUCCAUUGAGUAUAAGAGAGCAAAGGAUGAUAUAGCAAUGAACACCGGAAUGAUACUAGGAAAAAUGGUCCAAAGAAUCUCGAUAGUAGUUCCAUGAACUAUCCUUUGCGGUAUUUUCUUUUUAGAAUAGUGGAAAUGCCAUAAAGCGCGAACCAAAAUCCGUGAUACGAAAACAAAAAUCAAAAUGAGGAAGAAAAAGAUAUCGUGAUGUAUGUCUAUUAUUCCUUGCAUCAUAGGUGUUGCUGUGUCUUGAGAUCCUAAUUGCCAUGGUUCCGCUGCAUCACAAGGAGCAAUUGUGAGGAAUAGCCAUUUGAGAACAAUCAUUUUCUUUGGUUUAUUCUUUGACUGCUCUGCUCCCCCCCCCAAAAAAAGAGAGACUUGUUCUUGCUCUCCCAAUGAAGGAAGACGGAAAUCGCCGGUUGGGUUGGUCCAACCAAGAAAGGCAUGGGAUGGGCAUUGCUUGGGCCGAGUUAAGUAUGGCUACCUAUUACUCCUCACUGCACACUUGAAAUAUCUCUUGAUACUCCCCCCUCUUUCUUACAACUAGUUGCUGCAUGCUAUCGGAUCUCGAGCAAUGGGAGGUUACAAUUGAGAAUCCACACUCUCAUUACAUUACAUUUUGAUGUCGAAAAGGUCUUUUGGGCAAUGAGCAUUCCUUAUGGGCGUAUCCGUUCUCUAUUUAGAGAAAUUCUUAGAGCGGUGCAGUUUAUGCAUGGCGAAAGGGAGCAUUGGAAGGGUCUUAGCUCCAGAAUAUGAAGACGAAUGAAUAAGGAAGAUCAGAUUCAAGGAAUAAGAGGACAAAGGCUCGAUAGGAGGAAAUGAAUAAGGGGUCCGACGGAGCCUUCGGAGUACUAUAAAGAGGAAAGCCUAGACUGAUCGAUGUUCUUGGUAGGAACAUCCAUAAAUCAGGGGAGGGAGAUCGAGUUUCAAACCUUUAUACACAAAACUGAAACUCAAAAUUCACUUCCUUCCUUCCGCAAGGCCGAUAUCUUUCAUAGCAGGCAAGGAUGAGUCCAUUAGGUUCUUCGAUUGAUUCGGAAAAGAAAUGAGAGACAAGAAAAGAUCUUUGAUGGAGAUGAAAAGGAAGAAUCUCAAAUAGACCAAGAUCCAAUUUCGGGUCAUUUCUUGGUGAACAUGAUCUGCCAUAAUCUCUUCGAUCCCUGAAUUUAUGUGCCAGAAUAAAGAGAGAUUUGGUAGGAAAGUGGAAGAGACCUUGUGGUAUAUAAUAAUGAGAGGGAGUGGGAAAGCUGCUGUAAUUCUUUGGAAAAGCCCGGUUCUCUUUGUCUUCGAGCUUGAAUUCCUCAAUCCACUCUUUCGUUCUUUCAUAUACCUCCCCACCAAUAGAUAGAGACAAAUAGGAAUAACCGAACCACGUCUACAAAAUGCCAGUACCAUGCAGCUGCUUCAAAGCCAACGUGAUGCUCCUUGGUCAGAUGACCAAGAUAUUGGCGAAUACCACAUACGAUCAAGAAAAGAGUACCUAUAAUCACAUGAAAACCAUGAAAGCUAGUUGCUAAGAAAAAGGUAGAACCAUAAAUACUAUCAGAAAUAGUGAAGGGUGCUUGAUAAUAUUCCAUUCCUUGAAAGCUUGUGAAUACUAGAGCCAGUGAAACGGUAGCUACUAAAGCGUAAACAACUCGUUUUUCCUUCCCCGCGAGUAUAGCAUGAUGAGCCCAAGUUACGGCUGCUCCGGAUGAAAGGAGAAUAGGGGUAUUAAGAAAAGGGAUUUCCCGAGGAUCUAAAACCCCAAUCCCUUUUGGGGGCCAAAUACCUCCGAUCUCUACCGUAGGUGCCAAAGAAGAAUGAGAAGAAGCCCGAAAAAAAGCAAAAAGGAACAUAACCUCCGAUACGAUAAAGAGAAUAAAACCAUAUCGAAGUCCUAAUUGUACGACUUUGGUAUGAUGUCCUUCCAACGUGGAUUCACGUAGAACAUCGCGCCACCAUACGAACAUGGUAUAUAGGAGAAAUAUGAGGCCCAAACUGAGAAGUCUUGCACCCCCUUGAAAUGAGUGCAUGUACAUCACACCUCCUACGAUGGUUGCCAAAUGAUAAGAAUGCCUUUGAGAUUCAAUCACAAACCACUUUGCCUCGGUUGUAUGUAAACCCCCCCUUCACCCCCACCCGCUAAAGUGGUAAAGAAGGGCUCUUUGGGGUCUCAUUUUCUUUCUAUCUGACAGGACUAAAAAAUAGGAAGGGAUGGUUCUUUCAUUGCAUUGAUAGAAGUCUAACUAGAAAAAGAUCUUGUUGCUUUGAUCGAGCCCUAGGCUUUCCUUGGAUAGAUCCCUCUAUAUUCCAACUGAUUUAUGGCGUAGAAGGCGGGAAUAGGAAUCACUCAUAUUGCAUUGAGCCUUAACAGUCCGGAGGACUAUCCCGCUCCGUGGGAUUCUUUUAGCCUCACAAUAUUCUUUGCACCUAUCCAUCCACGCAAUAUUCUUUGCACCUUCGCUCCAAAUAAAGUAAUAGCCGCAACUCAAUUCAUUCAGCCUUCGCCUAGAAAUUCACUUUGCGACCCACUCCGUAAGCCCACUACACGAGAAGAAAGAAUAUCCUUAGCUAUUUAUCUUUAUUAUCUCUUCUCUGAGAAUAUCCUCUUAUUCUACUAUUAGAAGAAUAUCCUACUUUCAGUUUCUAGUCAAAGAAAGGUCCAGGCGCAGGCGCAAAGAAUAUUGCGAGGUGCAGUCUAAUGGAUAGGACUGAGGGCUCGACUGAAAGGAGAGAAGGCGCAAUGAAAUAUGCGAGGUCCAUAUUCCGACUGAGGAACUGAAACUUCCGCGUAGUGCUUCCCUUGUUCAUUGAUAGUAAUCCUGAAGUUUCUUCUUGGCAUCAAAAUAGAUCAAUGAAAGAGGACUAAAAAUAAGACGAAAGUACUUAUGACGGCUUUCCUUCCCAACAAAUCUUCGUUCUUAGUUAUUUGAUUCCACUUUCAAACUUUCUGGGAGUUGUCUUCUCCUAGGCUUUCUUCUUUCUGGCAGUCUUCUGCCUUGCCGUAGGGAGUAGGUUCAGGAGAACCAUAACCAUAAAUCAGAGAGACGGAGGCAUCAAUCACGCAAUAUUCUUUGCACCUCUUCCUUUAAGCUAUAUUUUUUAGGCUCCGGAGGCUCAAAGACAGGGAUAUUGUUGAAUACUAUUAGUUCGAGUCGCAGAGAGCAAAGAAUUUUCUCUUAAUGGAACUUAGCGCGGGUUAAUAUGGAUAGGACUGAGGUCUUAAGACUCCUAACUAUUAAUGGAAAGGACCCACGGAGCGGUGCAAAGAAUAUAUAGAAGGGCAGACAGGUCCGGAGGACCUGUCUGUCCUUCGGUCUUAAUACUCCUAACGUCGAAUAAGAAGCUGGAGGCUGGGUCCAGGUGCAAAGAAUAUUGUGUCCAUUAGAUCCAUUGAAUUAGGCGAAGGAUUUUAUCAAGCUUAGCUUUCUGGAUUCUUCGGCGGAGUGGGGCUUUCUCUAGUAGGUCUGGAGGCUCAAAGAAUGAUCAAAGGCUCCGAACCAUAAAGAAGAGAGUCGGAGGACAUCCAUUGACUUUUUCUUCCUUUCACUUCUAACUUCAAACCUUUCAUAUUCAACCUUGAAAAUAAAGGAGGGAGCGGACUACGGAGGCCAUAAGUUUGAGUUCCUCAGAUGUAUAAAAACAAGUCCUCCGGACGACCUAUCCACUGAAAGUAGCUACGUAGUCUUGUCUCCUUCCCCGCGUAGUGGGCAUUGACUUCUUCAUUGAUUUUCUUCUAUCUCCCACGUAGCGGUUGAAUAUGAAAGGAAGCCCACAGAGCUGAAGAUGGAGCGGGAUAAUAAAGAAGAAAGCUCAAAAGGAGGGAGCGGACCUCAAUGAACAAGGGGAGGACUCGUUUUCAUCCUUAUGGAAGAAAAAUCUCUUUUUUUUAUCUAAAAGACGUAGAAGGAGGCUCAAUGUCUAAUCUUUCUCUCAAAUCAAUAUCCCCAGUGCAAAUAUUCCAGCAAUAUUCUCAAUAUGAAAAGAGCCUUUCUUCUUUUCUUAGAUAAAUGCGCUUCGUAGAUUAUGCUGAAGGAGGAGUGGGCCAUGAUCUUUGCUCCUUAAUUUCCCUAAUGGAUAGUCAUCUGGACCUUUCUUUUUAGUUCUUUGCGCUCGUCAACGCAUAUUUCAUUGCGCCUUCGCCUUCAAUGAAAUCCAUAAAUAAAUAAGGGUAGAUUUCAGACUCAAGAGGAGGGUUCCUUAUCAAUAUCAAUGAGACGGAUAGGCUUUCUUUUACAUUCCACAGGUCCGAAGGACUAUCCAUAUUAACAUGUCUGUCCUUCGCCUAACUAGUUCAUAUAGACCUUUGUUUUUCUUCCGCAGUCACUAAUAUGGAUAGUCCGGAGGACCUCCUUCAGCAUAAUCUAUGAAUGAUCGGAGCAAAGAAUAUUGCGGAAAAGAAGAAAGGAGUGCAAGCGAAAAAUAAUGGAUUGAAUAGUCCUUCGGACGAACUACCGCACUUGGGGGAUAUUGUUGAGAAAGAAUAUUGAAAAAGAAUGAUCGAAGAAUAUUGAAAAAGGACGGAGGAUAGGCUUUCUUUGAACAAUGUGGAUGUAUCAAAGAUUCCACAGGUUAAUAUGGUAGAUUUCAGACUAGUCCUUCACCUUGGAUCUGGGGACUAUUCUCUGUUCUAAUAGACAUAGAGGAGAGGUUCAAAGAAUAUUGAGAAUACUCGUGCAAGCGCAAUCAAUGAACAAGGUGAAAAGAAUAAAAAAAAGGCGGUCGAUGAUCAGGAAGAAAAAGUCAAAAGUCUAUCCCAUCUUCUUCGUUAGGCGCAAAGAAGAAAAACAAGGUGCAAAGAUCUAUGGCCCAAUUAUAAGGGGUCCAGAUGCACCAUAAGACUGGUCCGAAGGACUAUCCAUAUUAACCGGAGUCUUCAACAAGAUUUCCAACCCUGAAUAUUAAGCUACUGAGGCCCAAUAUUGCGAAGGAAGAACUGCGCCAUAAGACAGGUCCGAAGGACUAUCCAUUAGGGAAUGAGACGGAGGUAACGUUUGGUUUUUUGGAAAACUUGUUGGUCGCGGAUUAGUGCGUUUUUUUUGGAAAGUAACAAUUCUCUUCAGUUUGGUUUCAGAAAACUUGUUGGUCACGGAUUAGUGCGUUCUGCGCCGCCUGGUGUCACGAACAUAUUUUUCCAAAGUGUGUUUACCUUUGGUUAUAUGCUCCGAUUACCCCCAGUUUAUCUCAUCUUUAGUUUGCAUAACUAGUUUAGCUGAUUGCUUUUCAUUCUAGGUCAUAAAGCUUGGGUGUGACGUUUCGGCAUUUUCAUAUGCAAGCCUGCCAGAGAGGAAAAUGUUCAAAAUGUACUAUAGGGGAGGCAUACCAGUUGAAUCCCCGCCCAAGCAUUAGUUGUACUCUUUGCAAGCAACCCUUUUUCCUUGCAAUUGACAGUCUUUAAUGCUUAUUGUAACGUCUAUUUCAAUGUAUUUCUUUCUUUCCCGUGUUUUAUAAAUAAAAUGUCCCUAAAACGCAAACGAAGGUUACGACAUACAUCGACGUUACCCACAACUCUUGGAUAUUGAUCGACUGACUUGUUCAUCGAGUUAGAACAAGUGCCGCACAAUCGUCCGUCUCGAGGUUGAAACGCUACGAUUGUGACAAGUGGUAUCAGAGCCAAAGUUGGCUGAGUGACAGUUUUGACAAAAAUAAAAUGUCGACUGCAAAACGAGCGAGCAAGACCCAUGAAGAACGGUUGGUGGGGAUCGAAGUGCAGAUGCUCCACCUGAUGGAAGUUCCUGAUUCCAUCCGGUUCUUGGAAUAGCGGCUUGAGGAUAUUGCCAAGAAAGCUGAUGGCAUUGAAGCCGUGUCCGGUCGCCUUGACGGACUACCCAUCCAAGAGUUACUGACUAGAGUCGACACUCUAGAGUCCCGAGUUAUGAGAACGGGAAAUGUCACCUACGAGCGUGGGGACAGUUCAUCGGGCUCUGUUGCCCAGAUGGAAGAACGAGUUAUGGAGCUUGAUAACUCGCAAAAGAACAUGUUGGAGAUGAUCAGCGCAUGACAAAGGAUUUUCGAGCAACCCUCGAUGUCGUGAGGAAUGAGCUCGCAGAGGUAAGCACGAGGGUGAACCUUACUAUGCGAGCACUAGAAAAUCAGGCUCUAGCUGGAGGAGCCAUUCCUGUGGGCAGAAUCAAGAUUCCUGAGCCCAAGCCCUUCUGUGGGGCGAGAGAUGCCAAGGCGUUGGAAAACUUCAUCUUUGAUGUCGAGCAGUAUUUCAAAGCCACGAACACAAUUACUGAAGAGGCCAAGGUGACGUUGGCAACCAUGCAUCUGUCAGAAGAUGCGAAGUUAUGGUGGAGGUCCCGAUACAUGGACAUUCAAGAAGGGCAUUGCACAAUCGACACGUGGGAUGCCCUAAAAGGAGAACUCCGUUCGCAAUUUUCCCUGAGAAUGUCGAAAUUCUGGUCCGACGGAAGCUGCGUGAAUUGAAGCACACGGGGAACAUUCGGGACUACGUGAAACAGAUUGCGGGGGUAAUGUUGGAUAUACGCGACAUGAUCGAAAAAGAUAAAAUAUUCAGCUUUGUUGAAGGGUUGAAGCCAUGGGCAAGGACUAAGCUAUACGAGCAGAAAGUCCAAGACCUCGUGUCAGCCUAUGCAACAGCUGAACGUUUGUUUGAUCUGUCUAAUGACGUUCAAGAGACAAGACAUCAUUGAAGCUCUUCACCUGGAAGAGACAGAAACAGCCGACUGAAUUCUCCCGAAGCUGUCAGUAGAAAUAAAAGUCCCGGCAGAGACCGCAAGCCCUUCCAGUCAAAUACGGGGAACACCAGGCAAAGGCCCACUAGUCAAAGGACCUCCCACACUCCUAUCAGUUGCUACAUUUGUAACAGGCCACAUCGGACAAGGGAAUGUCCGGAUAAAGCGGCCUUCUACGCCUUCCAGGCCUCUCUGGCUACAGACUUAGGUGACAAGUUGGGUCAACCAGAGAAUGAAGGUGGGUAGGUGGAGGAAGUCCAAAACGUUAGAGUAGGGGCCAUAAGACUCUUGUCGUUCCUUCAGAAUAAAGCAGGGGAGACAAGUGGUCGUACAAAAGGGGGCCUAAUAUAUGUGGACACCUGGAUCAACCGAAGGCAUGCAAAGAGCACUAUGGUUGACUUCAGUGCAACCCAUAAUUUUAUAACGGUGGCGGAAGCCAGACGAUUGAACCUUCACUAGAAGAAGGAUACAGGAAAGAUGAAGGCCGUAAAUUCUACAGCUUUACCCGUCGUCGGAGUAGUGAAACGAGCGGUGAUACAGUUGGAAAGAUGGAACGGCCUUGUUGACUUUGUGGUUGUGGGCAUGGAUGACUUUGAUGUAGUUCUCGGAAUGGAAUUCCUUCUUGAACAUCAAGUGAUCAUGAUGCCUGCAGCCAAAUGUCGGUGAUCACGGGAUCUACCCCCACCGUUAUGCAGAUACCCCCACCAUUAUGCAGAUAGAACUCCGGCAACCCAAAGGAUUGAGAAUGGUCUCGGCCAUGCAACUGAGGGAGGGCCAUAUUCAGGAAGACACAAGGCGUGUCGUGGAGAGACGUUGUGAUGGGAAACAGGAUAGUUUGCCCAUGUCAGAAUCGCCUACGAGAAAUGAUCAUCGUAUGGCGCAAUCAAAAUCAUCUGGACUCAGGAGACAGUCAAGGAGACUGUCAGGUGCAGGAUCCACUAGACCUGCGAGAGAUCCGUAUCAAGCACAAGACUUCUUACGGAAGGAAGAGAAUGGACAAUUGUGUGUCAACAACCGUGUCCUAAAGCAAGCCCCGAGGAGAGGGCCAACUUUUGAGUCCGUGAGUGGGACUCAGCCUGUUGAAGCUUACGCUAAGGCAUAUGGUCCUGUGUCAGGUGGCAUCCUAAUGCAGAAUGGACACCCUGUCAAAGCUGAGAGUCAGAAACAAAGUGCCGCAGAAGGUAGUUAUACGAUGUUUGGAAAAGGAAUGCUGACCACGAUACGUAGUCUGAAGGAUGGAAGACAACAUUCCCAGGGGUCUACACAUGGAAGAGAGACGAACAACAUUGCGACCAACCGCUUUGAUACUCGGCCGAAGUGGGCUUUGAGUCAAGAAAAGUGGCAGAGGGACGUGUCAAGGGAAUCCUUGCAGAAAAACUCUGUCAUUGAAGUUGAUGUAAGUCUGGCGGAGACCAGUCAGGUGGAAGAAAAGAAUGGAGUUCAAUUGUGGAAGCUAACCCAAUCUUAUGUUAAUGCUGCAAUGAGUUCGUCAAUGGAUGGAAACCAGUUUGUGGGUGUUUGUGGCGGACAUUCUGUACAGUCCCGCCUUGUUGGUCCCUCCUAUGUUGGUAAGAAUCCUCAAGCUUGCAACAGUACCAAGAGGUGGAAGCUGGAGUCAGACAUCGUUCGGACCGAUCGAGAGGAAGCCUCGAAGUGGCCAGAAAAGUGGGCAGAUAAGAAGCAUCGCCUCCGUGAUUCCCGUGGGGAGACCAGGUCAUCGUCAAACGGCGAUCUGAACUGACUCCGUUUUUGAAGAAGACUUCAAGAUCACCGCCUCAUGAGAGAACGCGAGGGACAAACAGAAGUUCAAGAAGUCCUUGCUAAAGAAGCAAGGAAAGAAGAAGAAGACCCAUGGGGGAUACACAAGUUCGUGGUGAAGCAGAGGAGCCUCCUCAUGGAAGAAGCCUGUGGAAGACGUACCAAGACUGUGAAGCGUGGAGGUAGAAGAUCGAAGGAUUCCAGCUUUGCCAGUCGACGGGGACGUCAACUGUUUAAGUGGGGAGUGUGUCACGGACAUAUUUUUCCAAAGUGUGUUUACCUUUGGUUAUAUGCUCCGAUUACCCCUAGUUUAUCUCAUCUUUAGUUUGCAUAACUAGUUUAGCUGUUUGCUUUUCAUUCUAGGUCAUAAAGCCUUGGUGUGCGUUUCGACAUUUUCAUAUGCAAGCCUGCCAUAGAGGAAAAUGUUCAAAAUGUACUAUAGGGGAGGCAUACCAGUUGAAUCCCCGCCCAAGCAUUAGUUAUACUCUUUGCAAGCAACCCUUUUUCCUUGCAAUUGACAGUCUUUAAUGCUUAUUUUAACGUCUAUUUCAAUGUAUUUCUUUCUUUCCCGCGUUUUAUAAACAAAAUUUCCCUAAAACGCAAACGAAGGUUACGACAUACAUCGACGUUACCCACAACUCUUGGAUAUUGAUCGGCUUACUUGUUCAUCGGUUAGAACAAGUGUCGCACAAUCGUCCGUCUCGAGGUUGAAACGCUACGAUUGUGACACCGACGGCCACAUAGAAUUGAGAAAAGCCUAUGGUUGAGGCAGCAUUAAUUUAUGAAACUUUACACGUGGGAAGGGAUGACUCUUUCUAUUCAAACCUGUAAACAUAGAAGACCGCCUCAAUGAACAAGGGAUCAUUCACAUAGAAUAAAUAUGAACAACGAGAAAGGGAAUAUAAGGUUUGAAUUCAGAGGAAAGCCUAGCUUGAAUGAACAAGGUGAAAAGAAUAUUGACAGCUGCACUUACGAGUCUUUCAGUUACCUUUCUGCCUCUUUAAAGAGAGUUCAAGGUUUUCUAUUAUCGGAAGAAUCAGAAUAAGAAGAAAAUAGAGGAAGACAGAGAGAAGAGAGCUCAGGAGGCGCAAUGAAAUAUGCGUGAGAAGCGCAUUUCCUUAGUGGAAUACUUUGAUAGCGGAAUAAGAAGUCGGAGGCUCGGUCAAGACGAUCUUUUGAUCUAUUCUAAUGGUCUCUAAUGGAUAGUCCUUCGUUUUAGAGUCCUACAGAUAAAUCCUCCGGACUGGUCCGAAGGCUAGGUUCAUACGGAUAGUCAGGAGGACGGUUAGUUGGAGCCUUGUUUUUCGAAAUCUUCUUUGAGCCUCAGUCGUCUCAUUGAUAAGGACAUCUUUGCAAAUGAAGAGCGGGAGGUGCAAAGUGCGGCUAUUACUUUGAAAAGAAUAGGAGCUCCGCGGUUUGAAUUGAAUAAAAAGGAUAGGCUGAAAUUCAAAGUGAAUAAGAGGAUAUUUUCAGAUAUAAUAUCUAAAGUCAAUGAACAGGGGCUCCUAACCUCUGAUUUAUGGGGAGCCUACUACGUCCAUUAGUUCCGAACUUGGCUCCACUCCUAGUAGUUCGAACUUGGCUUUGCUCCUUCGCUUUUUCUCUUAUUGAUCUCUCUUGUAAUGCUUUCUACUAAGAAUCAAGAAAGCGCAACUUCUAUUUUGUCCGAACGACCUUGAUUAAAAAACGAUGCUUCCUUGGUCGUGUAGAACAUGGAUUAGCAUUAUUUCAUUCCUACAAGCGAUCCCCCAUCCAGGAUUGGAAGAAGUGCUAUAUGAGGACUUUGAGAUCAAAUAGAAUAUAUUUCUUUCAAGACCUCGUGAGCCACUUAUUUCUCUGAAACAAGAGAGAAAAGUGAUUUUCCUCCUUUUUCUCAAUAAGUCGACGACCUUACACCAUUGGGAUACUUCUUCUUUGAAACUAGAGUACAUAUAGGAUACACCGGUGCUAAAACCUUUUCUCAAAAGAUCUUCCAAACUGUUGGGGUCCUUGCUCCGUAUGUUCUUCCCCCGGUGUGAAAGCAGUUGGUUCCAUAGUUUGAGAAUUCUACUACUGAUCCCAAGUACUCCAUCUCCAUCAUUGCAUAUGGGAAUAUAGAAAAGUCAAGAAGAAAAGGCAUGAGCAGAAGAAUUGUGUGAAAUAAGUCAAUUUAUCCAAUUGAGGCAUUCUUUCUUUUUCUUAAGAAAAUUCCCUCUAGACAUAAAUCCUUUCUGUACGAGUAGUGAAGAACUAUAGAGAGUAGUGGUUGGUUGUUGACCAACAAAAAGCAUGGGAGAAAGAAAGAUGUUGGCAAGGAAGCAUCAAAAUAGAUCAAUGAAAGAGGCUCAAAGAAUGAUCGAGGACUAUUUUAGUCCGACUAGAAACUAGGGAAACUAAAGACUAACGAAAUCUAGAUGAGAAUCCGUACAAUUAGUCUCGAGAAAAAGAAGAAAGCAAUAAAAAAAGUGAAGACAGAAAAUGAACCGAAAAUCUUCUUCUCUCAUAUUGAAUUCAUCCUUCUACGCAUCUCCAUGGGCUCGACUGAGAGUGGAGGAGAGGACGGGAAGAAUGAGAAAAAUAGUAAGGCGAGAAGACAGGUUCGAAGGACUAUCCAUCAGGGAGUUUGGACCCCGUAGUUAGGAGCAAAGAAUAUUGCGAAAGAGUCAUAAUAGGUACAAAUCUUCUUAUAGAUUAUGUUGAAGGAGGCGGCGCAAUUCAAUAUGCGAAAGUCAUGAUCCCUUUAAAGCAGACGUUAGGCGCAAAGAAAGAAGCUCAUUAACGAGAAUGAAAGAAUAAUUCACUCAUUAACGAGAAUGAAAGAAUAAUUCUGAUUUCAUCACCUUGUUUUUACGGAGUUCAAUACUAGAUUGAAGACGGAGGGAAAUCCCAGAUUUUGCUAGGUUUUGGGCCUAUAAAGUAGCAAGAAAUCAUGAAAAAUCAGUCAAAAUUAGACAAUUAUCGUAGCAUAUCAAUAUGAGAAAAAGUAUGAAAAAGAAGCAAAAAAGUCGGGAAAUAGCAAUUCAAGAAGAAAGCCUAGGACAGGGAAAAGAAAUGAACACUUCUAGUUUGAGUUUAUGGUCCGGAUACUGACAGGUCUAUUCUUUAUUCCGCUCCUGAAUAUGGAUAAUCCUACUUCGGUUAAUUACGGAUAGUCCUCCUUCGGUUAAUUACGGAUGGUCCUACGGAUAAAUCCUCCAGACUACUUCCUUCCAUAUGGAUGGUCCUACUUCGGUUAAUUACGGAUGGUCCUACUUCCAUAUGGAUAGUCCUACGGAUAAGAAUCCUGCGGACUCCGGACUACUUUGGUUAAUUACGGAUGGUCCUACGGAUAAAUCCUCCGGACUCCGGAUAAAUCCUGCGGACUCCGGACGUACGACGUAGGAUAAAUCACCUGGACCUUUCUUUGGCACUACGGACUACUUCGGUUAAUUACGGAUGGUCCUACGAAUAAAUCCUCCAGACUCCGGGUCGUAAGACGUAGGAGAAAUUCCUGCGGACUCCUUCCUUCCAUAUGGAUGGUCCUACGGAUAAAUCCUCCAGACUACUUCAAUUAAUUACGGAUGGUCCUACUUCCAUAUGGAUAGUCCUACUUCAAAUGGAUAGUCCUCCGGAUAAAUCCUGCGGACGUAGGACCCUGGACCUUUCUUUCUUUAAUGGAUAGUCCUCCGGAUAAAUCCUGCGGACGUAGGACCCUGGACCUUUCUUUGGCACUCCGGACGGAUAAAGAAAGGAUAAAUAAAGGCGCAAAGAAUAUUGCGAAGCGAAGCGCAUUUAUCUAAGAAAAGAAGAAAGGAUAAAUAAAGGCGCAAAGAAUAUUGCGAGAGCGGGAAUUACCUUUUCUCUUCGGGUUAGCUAAGAGUUGCCGGAGGCUUGAAGUCGGAUAAUUACUUUUACUUAAAGGUUUCACAAACCUGCAAAAUCUUCUCCAAAUUAGCGUUAGCGUUCUGAGCUAGCCAAGCAGUAUAUUUAAAAUAUAGAAAGAAGAAAAAUCCAUGCAAUCUAAGUACACUAAGAACCUACAGCAUCGUCACCGCUGCGUGGGAAGGUUAAUUCUUCUAACUCUGGUAUUAUCGUUGAACAAGCAGUUCACAUCCGACUGCCCGCGUAGUGGGGGAAGCUCGCUCGCUAACUUUGCACUUCGGCCAAAAUGCCGAAAAAAGGCUAAGGCCGAAGGAGGUCUGACUCCUUCGCUCAAGGAAGAAUUGCCCGAUUGGAUAUAUAUCUUGGUGCGGAGAGAGGAAAGGAUCACGGAAGCCUCAGUCUCAGUACGAAAGGGGCAAAAAGCUGGAAAAAGCAUACUGGCUUCACCUUGCCCUAGGAUGGGGUCCGCCGGAUCUUUUAAGGCAUAGGCUUAAUGCUGAGACGCACGGGGAUAUCCGGUCCAGGAUGGAUAUUCAAGACAAGGACGAAGGCUCUCCGUCACGCAAGAUGAUUACAAGUCUUAGGAGUGAACUUCCGCUUUACCCCUUCCGGUAUCAGGAAGCGAAGGGCAGAGAAAGCGAGCGAGAAAACAUAAAUCAAGGCGGUCGAUGACUUAAAAUAGGCAAAAAGAAAAGACAGAAAGCCUACGGGUUUCUCGGUUUACCCUUCUUUUAGGAUAGAAAAAGGCACUGCCUGUGUGACCACUACAAGCGGACGUGACGAGCGACGCAGGGCCACCCACGACCGCUAGCAAUACGAGGUAAAGCGGCCAGAAAGCAUACCAUAGGAUGCGUCCUGAGGGCAUUCACAUAAACAUUCUUCGAAUUGUUCACAUUCGGCGGGAUGUUCUUAGCCUUGUCUCCAGGUGAAUAAUUGAAUCGGCACCGGCGAUCGGACCUAUUGCAGCCUUCGGUUGACUGGUGGCAUUCGAUGGUAUGCUUGAGGCCUUCCCAACCCGCUCCGUGUAAAAGAGGUAGAAGGAGGCUCAAAGAAUUAUCGAAGAGCAAGACGAAAGAAAAUAGCGACUUCCAGUCGGUGAUGGGAAAUCUCAAUGUUAUCGCAGAUUCAAAGGCGCAAAGAAUAUUGCAUUGAGGCUCGACUGAAAGGAGAGGCGAAUUUGAGAAGAAAGAACUAUAUCGGCUAAAUACUCAACUGCCUCAGACGUCACUGGGACAAGAGCCGGAGAUUCCGAAACCUCUCGCAGCUUCUUUGCUUCCUCUGGUCUCGAUAUUUGAACCGCCUCAAUAAACAAUAAAUAAGGGUCCAAAAAAUCAAGGUCAUCUUCAAACCCUUUUUUUUAUGCGCCUCAGUCCUAUCCAUUAGAACGUCGGCCCUCACCCUUUUUCUUCUUAGUGCGCGCUUGAGCUUUAGUCUUCUGAGUUCUCAAAUUCUUUGACCCUCUGUCUCAGUAUUCGGCAGAGAUGCUGAUGUUAACAAGAAAUGCAGGCUGAAUGUUGUAUGGAAGGAUGAUCAUUUCGGCUUCUUGUAGCCAUUGAUGCUGUCUAAUGCUUGGAGAGACAUUGUUUAAUGUGACUUUGGACAAGGUUACUGAAGAUAGAACUAUCUGGCCUCAGAGGUCAGUUUUCAGUUGCUAAGACAGUGAAGCUCUUUCAUCUUCCUGGUAAUACUGUCCCUUGGUUCAAGCUUCUUUGGGGUAAGAAGCACAUCCCUAGUCAUGCUUUUCUUUCCUGGAUGGCUAUGAAUAAGAGUCUGAGAGUCAAAGCUAAACUGUACAAUCUUUAAGUGCUUUCGUCUGAUUUUGAGGUUUGGAAGCAAAGAAGCAGAGCGGAGUUUGAUUCCUUAUAUCAGAAAAAGAUAUAGGAAGACUCCCAGAAAGAAGAAAGCCUAGGAGAAAGCAAAGAAAGAGUAAGGAUCAGAAAGCUCCUAACCCCUAUUUAUUUAUGGAUGUGAAUUGAGCGAAGGCGCAAAGAAUAUUGCGAAGGUUCAAAGAAUAUUGACUUGAUAAACCUCUAUUUAGCUUCUUAUAUCUGAAGACGAUAAAGUCAGAUAAUCAGCCUCCGGCUGGGUCGGAUCGUCCAUACCUAGUUGAGUAUCUUGUCCGUCAUAACGAAGUCACUCUUUGAAAAAGGGUCGGGCUUUGUUGGAGUUGACUCGGUGAGUACACUUUCAUCUUUACGAGAAGAAGCGCGAACAACAACUAUAUUAUUCAGCAGAGACCUGAUUUACCCGAUGAGUGGAACGGCUCGACAAAAGUCUUAGGACUCGGGACGACGCGCCUCCUUCCUGCUAGAACUCAUAGGUCUACGGGGUUCUUUCGGUAGCGAGAAUAGUGGUCCCAAACGGAAUAGAAGUACUUUUGAUUCACUGAAUCGGAAUCUUUGAAAGAAGAAAGGGGGACGGAGGAUCAAUGAAAUUUGAUGAUGAUGAGUAAGCUCUUGCUUUUCUUGCUCCUCUUUCUGAAGUUGCGAGAGGUUCAAAGAUCCUUAUCAAUGAUUGGAGUGGCUGUUCCGGUUGCAGACGUUGCUGUUGGAGUAGAAGCUGUAGCCCUUUCGGUGAGGUGCGAAUGCUCGACCUCGACCCAUUGGCAUUAGUUGAGGAUGCACCAUCCCUGAUUAUUUUUUAGGAGAAAGCCUCUUUCGUCGGGUUCAAGGGAAAAGACUAAGAAUGAGGUCCCCUCCCCCCAGUUGAGGAACGAGGGCAAAAGCGAAGCCUAUGAAGUGAGUAUGAGCUCGCUCGACCCCCACGUAGCGGGAAUAGCACCAUCUUCUCUCUUUCAUGAGUAGUUCACUGCACUCAUUAGUAGCUGGACCAAGAGGUUAUUCUCUCUAUGAUCUCCUGGACUGGAAUAGCGCUCUCCCCAUAGCAAGAGGGAGCUCGACGUAGUCGGUCUUUCGGCAGUCACAAUAAUUAAGAGAAGCAGCUGCUCGGGAGAGGGAGGUAUCAGAUGCACGAAGAGAGGAUUGGUCGAAUCGACUGUAAGAAGAGGCAUCUGUUCUUGUGGCUGUAGCAGUUGCAGAAGUUGAAUCGUCUGUGGCUGUUCUUGUUUAAGAAAUAGCUGCAGCUAUUCCCACCAAGGCCUGACGAUAGGCUGAUUUCAGGAUUUCCUAUCCAUCCUCAAAUUCUUUGAGCCUUUGUUACAAGAAAAUACUCUUUAGUGACUCAAGAAUGACCCUGUCUUAUGGCACCUCUCAUCUGGAGCCUUUGUUUUUGAAACAAGUCAAAUUCUCUAAUGGAUAGGCCUGAAUUCAUGAAUAUUGAAUUGAACCUACUAAAAUCAAAGGAAUAAAGAAAGAGCUCAAAAGGAGUCAAAAUGAGAAGUCCGAAACCUCAUCACCUACUCCCGGAGGCAAGGUGAAAUUCAAUAUGACGAAGUCUUAUAGUUGGGUCUCAUCCCCCCAUAAUCAAGUAGCGUCCACUAAAAAGAAGCGGAGCGCGGAAGGACGAGGCGCAAUGAAAUAUGCCUUGAAUGAAUCUACCCUUUUUAGACUCGACUACUCCGCUACGUGGGCUUACUAGUAAUGCUGAAGUUUCCUCCUUUUCUAGCUUUCUUUCUAAUGCCCUUCUUUAUGGUCAAUGGUCACUUCCCCGAGGCGCGGAUCCCACUACACGGGAAUAUAUUAUGAUAUAAUGAACUAUCUUCUUUCUAAUAGCUAGUUUCAACAGCCACCGGGGAGGAGACAAGAACUCAAUCUACUGAAACAAGGGUUUCAACCACAGCGAGAGCAGACCUCAAAAAAAUAAGGAAGAAAAAGAUAAAGGCGCGAAGCGAAGCCUAUGAAGUCAUAAGGGCAAGGGCUUUCCGUGAACUUUCUUAUGAUGGGAAAUCCUUGUUUUCAUUUGCGAGACACAUUUCAUUCGUAGAAAUACCACUUCCUACUUCCUCAUCCCGACAAUAAAUAAAGCACUACGCGGGACAAAGUAGAUUCCCAAACUUAAAAGGAAAGACUAAAAUCAAAGCUCCAGAUGAGUUGAAUUGAGGUGCAAUGAAAUAUGCCUUUCUGCAGUGUGCGAAUUCGCUCUUUCGGCUGAUAACCUUUCGAUCCAGAAAGCACUACGCGGAAGUUCCCCACUACGCGGCGUGAAGUGACUGCCCACUUUUUGAAAAGAAAUAAAGAGCGCAGAACAAGGUUCAGUUAAGCUUGAUAAAUCAGUCCUUCGCCUAAGAAUAAGGUGAAAAGAAUAUUGAACUCAUGAAAUCAAUAUCCCUGUCUUAUGGGGCCUUUGUAGCUUAAUAAUGGGGAUCUGGUUCAAUUAUAAGGCUCAAAGAAGAUUGAGAAAGAAUAUUGCAAAAUCAAGGCGGCAAAGAAAAGGUGAAUAGGGAUUCGUACGAUUAGACUUGACUGAGAAUGGAAUUGCUUUAGCUAUCUUUUUUUUUCCGUCUUUCAAGGUGGAAGCUAAAUCAGAAUAGUUUCUAGUUGAAGGCAAGCAAGCUAGGGUUGGUUCGUAUUGACAAAGAGCUGGACUUCUAAACUUUCAAUGGGUACUGGAGUACUUUCUUUGUCAAUCGAUGCUUAAUACUAUCUUUACGCAAAUAAAGGCCGAAGAAUGAGGCUAAGUCUUCUAUUUAGUGGUCUCGCAAUAUUCUUUGCACCUUGCUGAUCUCAUUUCAAAAAUGCUUCGCCUGCCUCUUCUUUGAUUCCGUGCACGAGUAAGUACCCGUAAAUCGUAAAGAAAGAGGGGGGUAGUUACCUGCUCUUUCAUCGAGAUUGGCGAAUUACGGUAGAAGAUAGAAGAGGUUCGAGGAUCAAAGUAUUUGAGCUUUGCUAUUACUUUCAUGCUCCUCUUAGAAGGAAGAUAAGCACGAUAAGCUGGCCUAUAUCAUUGCUUAAUUCAUGCUUUCUUCGUACUUCCGGAAAGAAAUCUCACUCAUUUCAUUCUAUCACAUAAUGAGAACUCUAGAAAAGAAAUUGCUUACUUCAUGCUUUCUUCGUAUUUAUUUAAGGACCCAAUCCAUCUUUUGUCUAUGACGAUCGGUACGAAAGGAAGGCAUGCUCGCAGGGGAUUCUUAUUACUAAUAGAUGAUAAGAUAAUACGAGAAUGAAAGAGGUCGAGCGCCUCACCUCUGAGUCUGAUUGUUGGAAGUAUGAUGACUCCCACUGGUCGUCUUUCAACUCAUUAAAUCCCCCUAUCUUUUAUGGCGGUCUUACCGGAAUAUCUACUUUAUAGAAUUCCUAUGAGACUAAGAAAACAAACUGAGACCUCGUAGUCUUCCUGUUCCCGGUCGAUCCUAUGAUCGAUCUCAUACAAAGAUCUUCUAUGAUUCGACUAAAAAGACUCUUUCUUCUUAGUUUGAGCUUGAGGCGCGUCCAACCCACUACGCGGUAAGCUUUUCCUCUUUUCCUCUCACUUCAAGACUCAAGACCUUACCCGCACCGAGUCAAUCCGAUCGCUACCUUUCCAGGUCGUAUUCUAGUAAUUAAUUUCAUUAAUAACUCAGAGCGGCGAUCUAAAUACUUCUUCAGCAAGAACUUUCGAAGAAGGUAGAGGAACUGAAAUGGAUUCAGCUUCCGCAGGCAGCAUCCCUUUCAACGACGACUCCCCGAGAGACUCGCUUCAAACUUCCGAUUUAGAAAGAAGGUAUCUCAGUCUCUUACCGCGUAGUGGGCUGAUCGUGAGAGAUGGAAUCUUCAACCUCUUAUGGAAAUGUGUCCAGCGGAAGUAUUUACGUAAGAAAUUGAGAACCAGGCGAGAGGAGAGGGGUGAGGAUCGAGCGCAUUCCCUAUCGAUCAGCAUCCUCAACUCUACUUCAAGAGUAGAAAGGUUUCGGAAUUCAGAGGCAAGAGCAUUCCUUCCUCUUUCUUUAGUCAAGUCAUUUCAUUCCUUUUCUCACUAGGUCUAUAGAAAUAGUUCAUGGCCAGGACUAGGUCUCGUCAUAUUCUUUUCUCAAGAGAUGAGAAGAAAGUUCUCCUAAUAGAAUAUGUUUGAAUAUCUCAACUAGAAAGUCUCGGACUAACUCUUCCCAUAGCGUAGCCUACGGAGCGGGGAAAAGGAAGAUUUUCAACAGUCAAGAGAUCAAUCAGAAGGGAGCGGGAAGAAUGGAUAUUGUCUUCGAUCUUGCGAUAAAAUGAGUCAGACCAUAUGCGAUCUCGUCUCAAACAGAGAAUUAGUAAUCUGAGUCGCACGGGGAAUAGGUUGGAUAGUCCGGAGGACGGGAAGACAGAAAGAAAAGAGAGGCUCCGGAGGUUCAAAGAAUAUUGACAAAGAAUAUUUCAUGAAUUGAGGUGCGGUAGUCCGUCCGAAGGACUAUGAAAUCCAUUAGUUUUCGUUUGCACUCCUUUCUUCUUUUCUUAGAUAUUCUGGGAUUGAACUCCGUCUGAAAUCUAGCAGAUUCAUUUUUAGCUUCUUUCAUUCUCGUUAAUGAGCACUUGAACCUGUCUUUCUCAGGCGCAAAAAAUAUUGCGAGAAGAGCAAAGAAGAGAAUGGCGAUCAGAAUUUGAGUCCUUUCAUACUUUCGUUGAGGAGGAGGAGUUUUCUUCUUGUAUCAUAAUAGGAUAUUUUAGUAGAAUAAGAAGAAGAAGAAGAUAAGACUACGUAGCGUAGUGGGCUUUUCUUAUGGCGGAGCGGAGGAUUCCGACUAUCCACUGAAGAAAGUAGGAAAGCCUAAGGAACCUAAAAAGGGCUAAUAGGGGAAGGAAGAAAGCCUAUCCCUCCAGAAUCUUUGAGGACCGAAGGACUUCUUUAUAUCCCUAUUUAUUUAUUUAUGGGACUCCCAGAAAGGUUUAGUUCCAUAAAUCAGUCGGCUAAUAUAUAGGAUGAAAGUAGAUAGAAAGGAAAAGAAAAAAGUCGUCACUCUUAAGGAGUGCAAGAAGGAAUCUUUGAACCUUUUAUCCUGAUCUCUCUCAUUCUACAACUCAGUCGAGCCACUAUUCAACCUUCUUUUCGAUGGGACAUCAUGUCCUCUUAUCUUAAUCCCAUAAAUCAUUUAAGGCGAUACGGAAACAAGAAAUCCAGAAACUUAAUCCGGUAGAGUCAAUUCGAGACUAAGACGAGUUGGGGUUUCGACCAUAGGCUUUCCUUCCAAACCUACUAUACUAAACCUACCCCCGGACUCAAGGCGCGAAGUGAAGCGGCUGCCCACUUUUUAGAAAUAAAGAGCUGAGAUAAUUCUUUUCACUCAUUGAGGUCGGCUAAAUUCAAUGGAUAAAGAAGUCCUUUGCUUCAUUCUAUAUGUCCUUAUCAAUGAGACCAUUAAUCAGUCCGAAGGACUAUCCAAAGAAAAGAAUAUCCCUGUCUUAUGGGGCCUCCGUAGCUUAAUAUGGAGCGCUCCGGACGAGUCUUAACUAAUAUUCCCAAUCAAAGAAUUAUCGAAAGAAUGAUCGACGAGUCUUAUUCCACUAAAAUAGUAGUCCUUCGGAGCAGUCUUAUACUAAUCUCCUAAAAUCAAAGCUCCAGAUGAGUUUCAUUCCACUAAAAGACGAAAGAAGGUAUCUCAGUUACCAAAGAGAAAGAGCUUCCACAAACCACUUCCACAUAAACUUCUGCUAAGUCUACUUCUGUUAUUGAUUCAACUUAGCCUUUAAUCAGAUUAGGACCUAGCUAGCCAACCUUAUUCCUUCCUCUUCCUUACUUUGUUCUCGCUUGCUUCGGCAGGCACACACUAUCUCUGGAUACUGGAUAAGAGAUCCUUUGGUCAAGCUGCAAGAGAAAGACUUCUUCUCCGAUCGAUCAGCUACCCGAUUCCUCCUUCCCCGAUGAUAAGGUUAGCAGGCCCGAUCCUCUCCUAUUGAAAAAGAAAGCAGAAAUCUUUCAGUCUAGAGGAUUUAUCCGUAGCCCGGAGGAUUUAUCCGUAGCCCGGAGGAUUUAUCCGUAGGACCAUCUGUAAUUAACGCGAAGUAGUCUGCAGUCCGGAGUCCGCAGGAUUUAUCCGGAGGACUAUCCAUAUGGAAGUAGGACCAUCCAUAUGGAAGGAAGUAGUCCGCGAGUCCGCAGUCCGCAGGAUUUAUCCGUAGGACUAUCCAUUUUCAGUCGGACUAUCCAUAUGGAAGGGAGCGAAAUCUAGCUAUGAGGACUCUUUGAGCUCUUCUUUGAGUCAGUGGCUCUGCCACUUGCAGAAGGAGCAGCGAAGUCCGCGGUUUCAGAGGUUUAUGUAGCAGUUCUUCUUUAAUAAGAUGCUUACUUUCUUUCGGGUAGAAAGGUUCACUCGUGAACGGUACACCUCUUAUAUGAUGCCUGGGGACUUUGUCCCUUCUUCUACGGAUUUCUCUUAUAUGAUCUUAUUCAUCUCCGUAUCGUUCAUAUAUUCAUUCUAUAAAAUCCCUAGCUGCCACAGAUGGUCGAACUUGCCUCUUAAGUGGCGUGGGUCGAUCCUCUUGUUGACUUUUUACCUAGGAGUGGGGGGGAAGAAGUUCGAGAAUAAUUUAUCUUCUUUCCUUGUCCCAGUUCUUCUUUCCACUUCUACUUAAGUCACCACGACUGAUACAGAUGCAAGAACAUCAGGGCGAGCAGGGAAGAGGCGGAGGGAGUUUGCACUCUUUUCAUGCGGGUUUGAGUGAGACUGAUGCGCCCUAGGUCAAGCCAUUGCUUCGUCUUGUUCAUCACAUUCAUUAUGUUCACAAUUCCGGAAUCAAAGUAGAAAUACGAGAAAGCGCUCCAGCGGACUCUGAUUCAUUGGGAAUUCUAUCUUCCCGCCUCAAUGAACAAGGUGAAAAGAAUAUUAAAUGAAUCAUUGAGUUGAGGCGGUGGAACCUAGGAGUGGGACCGGGAACAUGAUAGGCUUGAAUCUAAGAAGUGAAUAUAGUAUUGAAAGAGGCCCACGGAGCGGUGUCCGACUAUCCUACUAUCGAAGCCUUGAAGCAUGAGUCUUGAGGUUUUCAAAGUCUACUCAGAGGACGAGGUUGAAGUUUCAUAGGGAAAGGUUUCAUAACAAGCAGUUGUUUUCCGUAUCGAAUGCUCUUUCAUUCCUUAUUCGAAAGAAGGCAAAGAAAGUGGAAACUAAAUCCUUGGAUUCUUUCCCGCUUGAACCAUGAAAGGUUAGGCCUUAGUUACGAUCUCAUUCAAUGCCCUAGCAUACUCAAAGGUUCGGGGGCGUAGUGGAUGGAGCUAGAAGACUACUACUUGGACGAGGGAUUUCCUUUCUCUUAUUGUAAUACUCCUAACCACCCCUUUUUGAAUGGGCAGGCCCCUCUGGUCGAGUUUACCCUUUUUAUUCAGGCCUAUCUGCCUCCGUUCAUGAAGGACAAAAUCGGACUGAGCCCUUGUUCAUUGAGGCGUAUAAGCCCACGUAGCGGUGCCAUAAGACAGGUCUGAAGGCGUCACAGGUCCGGAGGACCCGUCUGUCCGAAGGACGAGAUAUUUAUAAUGUUGAGAGAAAGAUUAGACUUUGUCAGGACCCUUAUUUCCAUUAUUUUUCACUUUCAAUAUUCUUGAGAAUAUUCAUUCAUCCGACAGAGCAAAGUUCAUCCAGAUCCCCAUAUGAAUUAGGCGAAUGACUGAUUUUCAAAGUCAGAGUUAUCCCUCAAAUUCUUUGAGCCUUUGCACUCAAAUUCUCUAAUGGAUAGUCCUUCAGACCGCUAGGAGUAAAGAAUAUUGUGUGGAACUGAACUAAUAGGGAAAAGCAUUUCCUAUUGAUUUGUCCCCUGGACUGGACCUAUUCUGAUUCUGAAUUAUCCGUCGCUACGUUGUUCCCAAGGACUAGCAAAAUCGAAAUAGCGAAAUUCUUGGGUCAUCUCAAUGGGUUCAGAAACCACACGUUUCUCUGGAUCAUCACAGCGUACUUCCACAUAUCCACUCAGAGGAAGGUCUUUUUGUAAUGGAUGACCCUCGAAACCAUAAUAUGUUGAUAUACGGCGUAGAUCCGGAUGAUUGAUGGAAGAAACACCAAACAUAUCCCAAACUUCUCGCUCCCACCGGCCGGCUGAUGGAAAUAGACUGACUACCGGAGAGAUUCGUGUUACUUCGUCUGCACUGGUUUGUACACGAAUGCGUGAGUUAUACCGAGUACUCAGUAAAUUAUAGGCCACUUCAAAUCUGAGUUUUCUAUAUAUAUUUAUAUUGAUGUUAAUAUGUUACCUUGUAAUUGGAAUGGUGAUUUGAAUAAUCUAAUAGGAUUAUGUGUUUGGAUCAAAAUAUGUUGCAAGAGAAAUAGCUAAAUGUGUGGAUUUAGUGACAAAGAGGGUAUUCAUGUGUUUAUUUUAGUUUUCUCAGUGAGGACUCGAUUUUUAGAAGAAACGACCACUGUUCGAAUCAUUCAAAACUUUGUUCCGAACAAAAAUUUUGGACUUUGUCAUUGUCCUCUUCACCGAAUGUGACAAACUUGAAGACAACGAUGAAACAUUGAAAGAUUACUUGGAUCGAAAAUGUCUUGUGGGGUUGAAAGAUACCAUAGCCGCUAGCAAGAACUGUUGCUUGGUUUUCAAUAACAAAACCGAUAAUGAAACAAAGAAGAUUGAAUAAGUGGAUAAACUUAUAAAGAUGGUGCAUGAAGUUGUACAACAAAAUGAAGGAAAAGCAUACACUCAUGGCUUGUUUUCUAAUGUCAAGUUUGAGACCAACUUGCAAGAUGAUGUGAAAACCAAGCUUGAACACACAAUUACAGUUCAAAACACAAGCAAAAUUUAAAGCAUAACAAGGAGCACAAGAAGUUCAACAACAAUCUAUGGAUCAAAUUCGAGUCCUCAAAGACCAUCUAUGCAUCAAGACUUGAAAGGUCACUGUCACUACCAAUGCUUCCACAAAUUAUUCGUCAUGGUCGCUGCAUGAGAAAAGGUUGCAUUAUUGUAUGACUUUACUGUGCAUGCAUUCAAUAAAUAUGUACAAGUAAUUAGUAUAAUGAAUAUAUACUAAAUAAAAAUAUGAAAAAACUGUGAAAAAAAACUUAUUUGAUUAACUGCUAUAAAAUUAAUAUUUGAAAAUUGGCAUGUGUUCUCGAAACUAAUAAAAGCAAGUUUGGAAAUGCCUUUAUUUUGUCUUUGUUGAGUGUAGUGUAAAUUGGGAAAUAUAGAAUGCUUAAUUAUGUUGUUAAUUAAUAAGAAAAUUAUUUUAGAAGUUUUGAUGAAUGUCCAACUACAUGUGGAAAGAAUUAUAAAGGAUUGAAAAAUGAUUCUAUAAUCUAGCCCAAACAAGAGGUGGGUUAUUAUAGCUCACUUCACUUCUAUUUAGUUUGGGACCCAAAUAGCCUCUUAAAAUUAGGUUAACUCCAUAACUAAUAAGGGUCUUUAACUCAUAUAGUCUAAAUUGCUAUAUGAUAUUACAUGAAUGAUCCAAAUUACUAAUAAAUUUCAUAAAAGUCCUAAAUGGACUAGUAUAUUACAUAAAUGUAGGCUCAAAUUACUUUAAUACCAAUUUAUAUUAUUUAAUUGAUUUAUAACAAAUAUCUAAAUGAAAAAAACCGUGGGAUAUAGUUUUGGAAAGAAGUGGGGUCCAAAUUAAUUUAAUAUCAACUUCUAUUAUUUAAUUUAAUUGAUUUAUAACAAAUAUCUAAAUGGAAAAAAUGGUGGAACACCGUUUUGGAAAUAAGUGGGGUCCAAAAUAAUUUAAUACAAAUUUUUAUUAUUUAAUUGAUUUAUAACAAAUAUCUAAAUGGAAAAAAUAAAGAGAUACAGUUUUGGAAAGAAGUGGAAAACUUUUCAUGCUUUCCUUCCACGAAAAUGGUUGUCUACUCCUUUCAACGUGGAUUACGAUUUUUACUUCAAAAUUUUAGAGAGUUCGGAGGUGAAGAAGAAGACAGUCGACGACCGACAAAUACAAAACUUCUCGAACAUAAUCUAGUUAAAAACUUUGAAGUUAGUAUUGUAUAUAUUCAACACAUAUGAAACAUUAGAUAUAUUAUGUAUAUUUUAGACAUUCAAUUAAAUAGUCAAUCAAAUGAAAAUGUAGUUUUGAAUGUGAUACAUUUUAGGGUUUAUUGAGAUUUCGGCGGUGAAGAAGAAAACUUUUGAUGGCCAAAAAAUACAAAACUUAUCCGACAGAAUCUAACUAGAAAAUUUGUGCUUAAUAUUAUAUAUAUUCAAAACAAAUGAUUAGAAACAUUUAGUAUAUUAGGUAUAUUUUAAAUAUUCGAUUAAAUAGACAAACAAAUGAAAAUAUAUGAAACAUUUGGUAUAUUAGGUAUAUUUUAAAUAUUUGAUUAAAUAGACAAACAAAUGAAAAAUUAGUUUUGAAUGUGAUACAUUCUAGAGUUUAUUAAGAAUUCAACGUUGAAAAAGAACGGUCAUCCUAUCAAAAAAAUAAUAGAACUAUAUAUAUAAUAUGAGGUAUAUAUAUAUAAAACAUAGAACAUAACUAUUAUAGAUUACGGAUAUAUUAAAGUAUAAUGUAAUCAAAUACAUUUAUAAAGGAAAAAUAUGUAUGUAUGAUCAUGUCGUUUACUACCGUUUUAGUAAUAUUUAUUCUACAAACACAAAUUCUGUAGGAAUUAUGUAUAAGGUAUUAUUGUAUAUAAUAUGAGGUAUAUAUAUACUAAAUAACAUGUAUGAAUUAAGUGUACAUUUUAUUAGUGAAAGGUUCUUAUAUCAAUUUGUUUAUGAUUUUUAUUUAAAUAUUCAUAUAUUAUGUAGUAAGUAAUACGUUAUGUUUGAAAUAAUAUUGAUUAUGUAUUAAAGUUGCCAUUAGACAGUUUUUUAACAAAAUAUACCUAUUAUAUUAAUAUAGAAAAUGGGAGGAAAUCGUGCAACAUUAAAAUAGGAAACUUCUUUACCAUUUUCUCACUUUCCAUAUUCAACGAAAAGCUUGCCAUUUCGACAGUCAAUGACAUAUACAACAUAUUAUAUAAUGCGAUAAUAUUAUAAAACUAGUAUAAUCAUAAAUAAGAUGUGAUAUAUAUUUAAGGGAAAUAUUAAAAAACUGAUAAAUUCAUAAUAGAAUAACGUUAAAAUAAGGAGAAUAUUGUUAAUAUAAUAUAUAUACGCAUAUGAUAUACUCAUAAUGAACUAAUUUUAAAUGGGUAAAAUAACAAAUGACAUAUUUAUGUUAUUCUUCAUAUAAAACAUCAACUAAAAUAAUAAAGUAUUAUAUCUCACGGUUAAUAUAUAAAACUAUUAUAAAUGUAAACAAGAUGUGAUAUAUAUAUAUAAUAAAUCACAUAUACAACCUAUUAUAUCAUGCGAUAAUAUUUAAAACUAGUAUAAUCAUAAAUAGUAUGUGAUAUAUGUUUAAAGGGAAUAUUAAAAAACUGGUAAAAUCAAAAUAGAAUAACAUUAAAAUAAGAGGAAUAUUGUUUAUAUAUACUAUAUCUCAUAUAUAUACUCAGAAUGAACUAAUUUUAAAUGGGCAAAAUAACAAAUGACUGUGGAUUUUAUCUUAUCUUUAGGUGAUGGACAAUUGUAUAUGACGGCGAUUUGUUAAGAUUCUGCAGCUUACGGUUAUGAUAAAUUUGAAUACAAAUUUAUAAAACAAUGUAAUAAGAAGUUCAAAUGAUGGAGAAGAAUAGCAAAAAACAGUUGUCGGCGAUGGAGAAGAUAAUGUAAUGGCUGCCAGAGAGAGUGAACAAUUAGGUUAAGUUAUAUUUUUAGAAAGAAUAAUUAAAUAGUUUAUUACAAAAUAAAGUAAAAUUACAAUUAUUAUAAUAUAUUCUGAUUUAUAAUUAAUUUAAAAGAUACUUGAAAUUUAUUAACAUAUUAAGGUCUUUUGUCUAAAAGUUUCAACUAAUAAUAAUGAUAGUUGUAAAGCCCCAAAGGUAAAAAAAAAAAAUGUAUAUUUUACAUUUUCUUUUUAUAUAUUUUUAUAUAUAUAUUUUAUUUUAUUAAUUUAAAUAAAAAGAAAUGAAAAAGAAAAUCCUUAUUUAUAUAUUUUUUCUUUUCUUUUCUUUUUUUUUCUCUCUUCUUCUUCCUCCGUGCGCCGCGACCCCCACCCGUCCUCUUCUCCUUCCCGUUCGCAUCAAUCGCCGCCCCAUCCGUUCUCUUCUCUUUCGUUCGCAGCAGCCGUCGGCCGCCGCGUCUCCCCUACUGAAGCCGAGCGCCGCGACCAUUCCUUUCUCCUCUUCUCUUCAGUUCGCAAAGCAGCUGUACGCGUCCAAAUCUGUCGUCGUCCAGAUCUGCACCGCAAGACCUUCCGUCGUUGCGACCGUUGCUCUUUCUCCGCUGCCCAGCCGUCUCAGCCGGUUCUGUCUCCGUCGAAGCCACGGUUCUGCAACCGUCUCCGCCGGUUCUGUCUUCGUCGAAGCUAAGGCCCCCGCGUGAACCAGUAACCGCUACGCUCUCCGCUCACAACCGCCGCUCCACUUGCUAUCGACGUCGGUCGACUAGUUGCUGUAACCGUUCAGAUUUGCUGUAACCGUUCAGAUUCGCGGUCUGUUCGCGACGGUCUCCAUCCGUGAAGCCCAGCCGCCACGUUCCCUUUGGCCGACCGCUGACCGACCCACACUUAGGAUUUUGCUGCAAGUUCGACAGUCGUGCGUUGAGGUGUUGGGAGUAACGUUAGGCUCCCUUGCAUUCACAACCAGUUUGUGAGUUGUUGAGGGUUCAGUUCGCCAAUAUAUCGGUGAGUUGGAACUUACGUUGAGGAAAGUAAGUGAGAUAUGUAUCGUGAAAGUAAUUGAAUUUUGUGUUGUUGUGCUUAGGAUUGUUUCGAGGACGUUAGUUGAUUAAGGAGCUUCCCCAACUUUGAGGUAAGGGAUUUUCUACUGGACUCAAUUGUGAUUGUGAACUGUGAUUGUGAACUGCAUGUGUGUUGAAUGUAUACUGUGGGCUAACUGAAAAUAUAUAUGAAUGUAUAUGAAUUGAAGUAGACUUGACGUCAAAUGUAUAUCGUGAUUGUCAUGGAAUCUAUAUAUAAAUGUGUGUGUGUGGACAGGACGGAGAUUGUAGAUUGUGUUUGUAUGAGAUGCAGAUGUGAAUCUUGUGAUUUUCGUUUAGAUUGGGUGUAUGAUUACGCUAAAGUAUGACUGUGUGCUGGUGAACUGAGGGGUGCAUUGACUGUAUAGUGGAUUGACUGUAUAGUGGAUUGACUGAUGUAUUAGCAUAUUAUUGACAGACAUAUGACUGUAGUAAAAUAAGUUGACUGUUAGGAUGUUGAAAGAAAGAACUUUGUGACUUGAAGUAACUGAAAGAUGGGUUGAAUGGAAUGAGGGGAUAAAUUGUUAGAUUGUAUUGGGAUGUUUACCUUGUAGGUGUCCCACGGGAUCACCAAUUUAUUGUGCACCUUCAAGAGCAUUUGACUGAUAUGUGUUUCUGCAGAACACUAGACUGAUAUGUACGUCCCUCGGGGCGUUAGACUGAUAUGUACGUCCCUCGGGGCGUUAAACUGAGAUCUGUAUCCUACGGGAUCACAAGACUGCGAAUGUACAGAGUGUCCCAAUAGAACUUUAACAAUUUACUUUCCCCUGACGAGACCAGUAGAGGGUCUCUUACUGAGUAUUGUUAUACUCACCCUUCUUAUGUUUAAUUUUCAGGCAAAGGUAAUAAAGGCGGCAAACCGGCGAAGGGCAGGAAGGAAGCGUGAUUGACAUAGGAAAUGUGUCAUUUUGCUUCCGCUUAUGGUUUCUUUUGAGGUUUAAGAUGUACUAAAACUUAGUUUACAAACUUUUAUUUGUAAAUAGUGUUAUUUUUAAGUUUUCUUGAACAUUUGAAAAUCAGGCCUGACAUAAAUUGUUUUUAAAUUGACUUACGUUUCAUUUUGUAUCAACCAAAGUCUUUUGUUAAAAAUUAACGACCUCGACUUACCUAGAAAAGUUGGGUCGUUACAAUAGUUCUCAUUAACCAAUUGACAAAUGAAUGAUAUUGUCAAAUGAUCGAUAUUGUCAAAUGAUCGAUAUGUGCAAGUGCACAUUUCAAUUAUAUUAUAGUAAAACGUUCUUAGAGAUCGAGCUAGUAUCCUUUUAAGAGGGAUCAAAUUAACAAAUUAAUUUAUUGAUUUUAGGAUUAGGAUGUGUUUUAAGGAUAAAAACAAUGAUUAGAAACUAAUUAACUACAAGUUGUUGACUUUUGAAAAGAAUAUCUUUCCAUUCAAACAUAAUUGUUCCUAAUCUCUUCCAACUAAGUUAAAUAUUAUGGUAUUAAACAGAUACAUAGUUUGGUUGGUAGUUUCUCUUCAAAAUUAUUAUUUUGAGAAAACAAAUACAAUUUCUUUUUAUGUAAUCCAAUAUCCUCAAGUAUAUUUAUAAAUAUGGAAAUAUUAUUUCCAUAUUAGAAGAGAUACUAAAAGAUCUUAUUACAACAUCAUUAGAGUCCCAUCAUUUUCUCUAAAUAUCUCUUUUGUGGUGAAAGAUUUGGAAUUGCACAUCAAUCAUUUUGGAGUGGGUAAUUGAUCACCCUAUUUUUCAAAAAAUAAGAAAGAUAAAAAAUAGUUAUUUUUUUAAAGAUAUAUUUGAAAGUGUUGAGUUUAUGGAAGGUAUUAGUACUUAUACAACCACGAAACAUUUGAUUUUUGUUAUCUAAAUUAUUUUAAUAAAAAUGUUUUUUUUUUUUUUUGAAGUUUAUGCUUAUUAAAAAUGCUUAUUUAAAAAAUGUUAAUGAAAUUUUAAAAAAUAAAAUCUAAUUAAACACUUCUGAGAUAGAGAGGUUUCCCUUGACUACCCGAGCGUAGAUAAACACUUCUGAGAUUUGGUUGGUAAUCCUAAGUUCGUGUGCAGUUGAUUAUUUUUUAAAUUUUGUAUAGUUGAAUAAUAUUUGAAUUUUAAAUUUUCAUCUAUGUGAUAUUUACUCAUUUCAAACUUUUUGAAUAUGCAUGUUUAUUUAUUAUUCUGUCGUCUCUCUAUUGUAUUUUAAAAUAUAGAAUAUGUGUAUUUAUAUUAUUUGAAAUUGAAAAUUUAACUUUUACUCUUAGAGUAGGCUUUAACUCUUUGUUUGUCCGUGUUGUAGGUGAGCGAGAAGGAAAAGUUCCAUUGUUUGAUUGAAUUGGAAUUGUUUCCUGCAUGGGGUGUCAUACAUAAUUCCACUUAUUACUAGUUGAAGGUCUUCUUUGCCUCUGUCUUCUUCCCCAUCUCCCCAAGUUGUUCUAACCUUUUUAUAUCUACCUAUUACAUGUCAAAAGGUUCGCUCUUCAAUGUUUUGAAACAAGUUCAUUAUGAAAAUCUCUCACAAGCAAACGUAUGUGCAUUAUGAAUAAUUUCAUCUCAAAAAAAUUGUUUGAGAGGUUUCAAAAGUGUAUCGAAACUAAUAAUUUUAAUGAAUAAAAAAAUAAUUCUUCGUUAGAUUCUUACAUUUUAUUUCAACGAACAAAAUUUAGGAAAAUUUUUAAAAAUAGCAAAUUUUACAAAAAUAUUUACAAUUUAUAACAAAUUUAUAGUCAUUGAUAUGAUAUAACGAUAGUUACUAAUAAAUAUUUUAAUUUAUUUUGUUAUUUUUAAAAAUGCUCAUAAAAUAUUAUAGUGAGGGAACAAUGAUGAAUCACAUAGUUCUUGUGGUGAUGUCGCUUUUUCUCCCUCUUUACAUUCUAAAAUCUCAAAUACAAAUCAUAAAACAAGUAGAUAUACAUUCAAUUAGCAUGAUUUUGAUUCUAAUAAAUUAGAAAGACAAAAAUAACUAACUAAUUAUGGAAAAGUAAUAUUUUAACAUGAAUUAUUGAUUUUUAAUUAGAGGUAAUUUUAAAAUAAAUAAAAUAAAAGAAAAUAUUACAAAUCAAAUCUAAACUAACUUUGAUUUUACUUCUUUAAUUGCAAUAUAACAUAGAUACAUUGGCUAUGAAGUGCAAUUUCUUAUAUUAUAAUAUUUAAAAGAUUUAAAUUUAAAAAUAAAAAUAAGUAAUCUCAAGUCCAAUAUUGGACCCGUGGGCUUAGCCCAUCAAUUUAAAAAUUCAAAAUGCACACUCAACCGUCACAUUUUCCUAGGAUCAUCCUAUUUAAUGCCCUUCUACUUGUCAACUCCAUCGAAAUCCUUCAUUUCUUGUGGCACCGUCUAAAAUUUGCUUCGAUUGAAGAAAUUUUGACGCCCAUGACAGCGUUGAAAUUUCUUCAAUGCAAACAAAUUUUUUAUCUUCCUUUCAUCGAGGAUUUUCAUACCAUGUGAAGGAGAGAUCAGUUCCAUCCGUUCCAAGUCGUUCGUGAGUCAUCUUCUUUCCUGUGUAGUUUUCAUCUCUUGAUUUUGGAUUGCUUGUUCAAGAUUUAUUUUCGAAUUUUGGAUUGUUUGCUAUUCGGAUAGGCAGAAGGUUUGCACGAUGAUAGAUCUGGAGUACCUGAAUCGUUUAUUGAUUCUGUAGUUUAAUCUUAUGAUUUUGGUGAUUUCGAAGCGUACAAUAUAAUCGUACUGUGUUAUGAAGUAAAUAAGAUUUUGUAGGGUUUUUGAAAGUUAAUUUAGAUAUUUCCUGCAUUUUAGUCUUGAUAGAUCUGGGGUACCUGAACCGUUCAGGUUUGCAUGCUGUGAUUGUGUUGUUCUUUUUUGAUUUUGGAGAGAGUCCUUGGGUAAUUUUGAGGAUUGUUCUUUUUUUAGUUUUUUUUUGCAUGCAUUCAAACACACGCAUGGUUUUUAAACUGGGGUUCUUGAAUAUUUGUUGGUUUUCUCGAAUAUUUGCCGGUUUUUUUUUCUCAGAAGAAUUGAUCUUAUAUUUGUGUAUCUCUCUGUGCAACUUUAAUAUAAAGUUAUUAAGGAAGAAGAGAAAGGAGGAAGAAGGGAGAGAGAAAAGGUAGAAACGACCUAAUAGUAGGCAUGAGUAUUAAGAUGCAGCAGAGCCACCACUUAGUGGCGCUAAGGUUUAAUGAGCAAAUUGACAGUAGAAAAGGGUCCACAUCCAUACCUAAGUUACUAUUGCUCUGGGUUCUGUUGGUGGCAUUCAUUAGUAUGUUAAACUACAAAGAAAUGGAUGGGUGGGUGUUAACAAAGUUAGAAGAAAGUAAGUUCUGGGAAGUAUGUGUGACCAGACGACAAAGAUGUUUCUUAGUGUCAGUGUCAAACUAUGUCCAGGCUUUGGCCAUUCUCAUUUCCAUUUUCCAGUACUUCAAAAUCGUAUCAGCAAUUGAUCAGGAAAAUGUGUUUCGAUUUCUGUCUUUUAUUAGUCUCGGUUAGUUAGGCUUAAGAGUAAGGGAUAUAAUUCAUUUUUCUUGUUUCAGCUAGAAAUUACGUCGAUGUCUUGAUUUUUAGUUUUUUUAGGGCUGUUUGGUUGUUUUUUUAGGGGUGUUUGGUUAGUUAGGCCUAAGAAGUAAGGGCUAGUGAAAGAGAAGCAUUUGAUUGUCCUACAAGUAUCUGAAUCGCCAAUGAAAGCAGAGGUUAUUUCCUCUGAAUUUCCACGAAUUGUUCAGGUUUGGAUUCUGUGAUUGUGUUGUUCUGUUGUUCUCUUCUUUAUUUUGGAGUGUUCUAGGAAAUUUUGAGGUUUGUUAUUUUUUAGUUUUUUUGGCUUGCCUUUAAUCACGCUCGUUUGGGAAUAGACAGGCUUCAGAGAAUGAAUCUCCUUUUUAAGGGUUCGUUGGGGAGCGAAGUGACCAUAUGGCAUCCCUUUCUGCACCUGCUCAGUCUCUCUCUUGCCUUUUUCAUACUACAUAUUUUUGUUUCUCAAUUUAGUGUCAGUGUCAACCAUGUCUAUGCUUUGGCCAUUCUCAUUUCCACUUUCCACUACUCUAAAAAUGUAUCUGCAAUUGAUCAGGUAAAAGUGUUUCAAUUUUCUGUCUUUGGUUCAUCUCCGUUAGUUAGUCUUAAGAGUAAGGGAGAUAAUUCGUUUUUCUUGUUUCCCUCCAUGUAUUGAUUUUUAGUUUUUUAGGGAUGCUUGGUUGGUUUGAAUGCACGAAACAUUUGCUGGUACACGAUUCAAACAGCUUGCCCAGUCAUGUUUUUCUAUUUUUUUUUAAUAUUUUGGAAUUUUGCAUGUGUGAUUUCUGUAUAUAUUAUUCUUGCCCUUUUCCUUUAUCAUCAUUUAUUUUGAUUUUGGAGAGGUCUCUUGGUUAUUUGUUAUUUGCACAUAUACAAGGGUUGAAAAUUUCAAUCCCACCUCUCUUUUAUAUUACAUUCAUUUAGUUUUGGCUGUUAUCUAAUUGAACUAUUUGAUCAUCAAAUAAUUGUGUUACCUUUUCUUCUAGAUGUUUAGAUUCAUUUUUCUCACUCUUUUAGUUUUCUUAAUGUGUGACAGUCUUUGUUUUUUAUUGAACUAUUGUGUGGCAGUCUUUAUUUAUUGGUUAUCUUUAGUUUCACUAUUGUUCUUUUUUUAAUGUUUUCUUAGUUUUUAAUAAGUGUGACAAAAUAUGAAUUAAUUUUUUUCUUUGAACAAAUGUGGAAUUUAUUUUCUUUUAAUGUAGUUGUGUCCCCAAUAAAUUUAUUUUGGCGAUUUAACAAUCCAUCAUGUUCUUUUUCAUUUUUCUGUUGUAUUUUCUUCGGUUCUUUGUUGUGGUAUGUCUAUUUUUGAGACAUUCUUAAUUUAGUUUUAUUUCUUUUAGCUUCCUGCAUCAUUUUGUAUUAUGGAUUGUUAUGAAAUUUUGAGAUUAUGCUUUAUUUUGUUUUUUGGUCCUUUGCUGUGAUGUCUUUUGAUUAUUUAUUUUGAGUGAACAGUUCAUGUAAGAUUUUCUGCAUGAGAAUAAAUUGAUUAUUUAAUUUGGUCAAAGAAGUUCAAAAUUUACAUGUGAAAUUUACACUCAGUGGCUGUAAGGUUUAAUGAGAAAAUUGGAAGUAGAAAAGAGUCCACAUUAAUUCAUUCAGCCAAGAGGGCUUGGCAUCCUAAGUUUGCUCUGGGUUCUGUUGGUGGCAUUCAUCAAUAUGUUAAUCUAUUAGGGAAUGUAUGGUUAUAACAAAGUAAGAAGAAUGGAAGUUCUGGGGGAGUAUUUGUGACAAGAGGGCAAGGAUGCUUCUGCAUCAAUUUAGUGUUAGUCAAUCAUGUCUAUGCUUUGGCCCUUCUCAUUCCACUUUCCACUACUACAAAAAUGUAUCUGCAAUUGAUCAUGUAAAAGUGUUUCAAUUUUCUGUCUUAGGUUCAUCUCAGUUAGUUAGUCUUAAGAGUAAGGGAGAUAAUUCAUUUUUCUUGUUUCAGCUAGAUGUUACCCUCCAUGUCCUGAUUUUUAAUUUGGCUUCCUAAGUGUGCUCUAGGUUCUGUUGGUGGCAUUCAUCAGUAUGUUAAUCUACAGGUGAAUCUAUAGUUAUAACAUAGUAAGAAGAAUGGAAGUUCUUGGGGAGUCUUUAUGUGUGACGGUCUUUGUUUUUCAUUGAACUAUUGUGUGGCAGUCUUUAUUUAUUGGUUAUCUUUAGUUUCACUAUUGUUCUUUCUUUAAUGUUUUUCUUAGUUUUUAAUAAGUGUGACAAAAUAUGAAAUUAUCUUUUUCUUUGAACAAAUGUGGAAUUUAUUUUUCUUUUAAUGUAGUUGUGUCCCCAAUAAAUUUAUUUUGGCGAUUUAACAAUCCAUAAUGUUGUUUUUCAUUUUUCUGCUGUAUUUUCUUUGGUUCGUUGUUGUGCGAUGUCUAUUUUUGAGACAUUUUUAAUUUAGUUUUAUUUCUUUUAGCUUCCUGCAUCAUAUUGUAUUAUGGAUUUUUUCGAAAAUUUGAGUUUGAUCUUGUUUUCCUGGUCCACUGCUGUGCAGUUUUUUUUUAUGAGAUAUUUUUAUUUAGAUUUAUUAUCUUUUAGCUUGUUUUGCAUUUUGCAUUAUAGAUUAUUUUUUAAAAUUUUGAGGUUGUUUUUUUUCUUUGAUCUUUUGUUGCGGUGACAAUUUUAAUUUAGAUUUAUUAUCUUUUAGCUUGCUUGCAUUAUGGAUUGUUAUGAAAUUUUGAGAUGAUGCUUUAUUUUGUUUUUUGGUCCUUUGCUGUGAUGUCUCUCUAUAAGACAUUUUUAAUUUAGGUUUAAUAACUUUUAGCUAGCUUGCAUUGUGGAUUGUUAUGAAAUUUUGAGUUUCUGCUUUCUUUUGAGUUUUGGUGAUGCCUUUUUACGAGACAUUUUUUAAUUUAGGUUAAUUUUUUAGGUUGCUUGCAUUUAUGGAUUGUUCUGAAAUUUUGACUUUCUGCUUUUGUUUUUUAUGUCAUUUGUUGUGUGAUAUUCUCUUUAUAAGAUAGAGAUAUUUUUAAUUUAGGUUUACUAUUUUUUAGCCUGCUUGCAUUUGGUAUCAUAUAUGAAUUGUUCUGAAUUUUGAGUUUCUACUUUUUCAGUCAUUUUUUUAGGGCUGUUUGGUUGUUUUUUUAGGGGUGUUUUGGUUAGUUAGGCUUAAGAAGCAAGGGCUAGUGAAAGAGAAGCAUUUGAUUGUCCUACAAGUAAUAAGCUUCUCCUCAAUCAUUCAACCAUUUUUUUAGUAAAGAAAGAGGCUUCUCCUCUGGCAACCAAAGUCCGUCCCUCGUUAACAGGUAAGUCUACCUCAUUACUUUUUAUGUCCUUUUAAUUAAGAUAUUUGGGUCAAUAUAUAUCAAAAUAAAUAAGAUCCAUCUUUGGUAAUUUUUAAAAAAAUUAAAUCUAUAAAUACUCAUUUCAUCUCUAAAAUUAUGUGAUUUGUACUUUCUAAAAUUCCCUCGAUGGUACUAAUACACUCUUAUAUUUGUAUUGUAAUUAUCAUGUCCUUUUUCUAUGGUUUUUUAAAGUUAAUUUAGAUCCUUAUUCGCUCUAGGUAUAAGUUGAAUGGAAGAGUUUUUUAGCCUUGAUGGAUCUUGAGUACCUGAAUCGCCGAUGAAACAGAGGUUAUUUUCUCGAAAAUUCCACGAAUUGUUCAGGUUUGGAUUCUGUAAUUCUGUUGUUCUUUUUUGAUUUUGGAGAGUGUCCUGGGUAAUUUUGAGGAUAUUAUUUUUUUGUUUUUUCGGCUUGCAUUUAAUCACGUGCGUUGGGGAAUAGACAGGCUUCGGAGAAUGAAUCACCUUUUUAAGGUUUCGCUGGGGAGCGAAUUGGCCAUAAGGCAUCCCUUUCUGUUCAGUCUCUCUCUUGCCUUUUUCAUACUAUAUGGUUGUUUGAUCUGGGGUUAUUGAAUGAUUGUUGCUUUUAUUUUCAUAAGAAGUGAUCUUAUAUUUUUGUCUCUCUGUGCAACUUUAAUUUGAGGUUAUUAAGGAAGGAGAUAAAGGAGGAAGAAGGGACGGAGAAAAGGAAGAAAUGACUGGAUUGUUGGGAUGGGUAUGAAGAUGCAGUAGAGCCACCACCUAGGUAAGGUCUAAUGGGCAAAUUGAAAGUAAAAAAGAGUGCACAUCCAUUCAAGCUAAGAGAGCUUGGGUUCCUAAAUUACUACUGCUCUAGGUUCUGUUGGUGGCAUUGAUUGGUAUUGUUAAUCUACAAGGGAAUUGAUGGUGUUAACAAAGUUAGAAGAAAGGAAGUUUUGGGCGUAUGUGUGACCGGAGCACAAAGAUGCUUCUGCAUCAAUUUACUGUCAGUGUUAAACUAUGUCCAUGCUUUGGUUUAUUUUCUAUUUUCUACUUUCCACUCCUCUCGAAAUGUAUCAGCAAUUGUUCAUGUAAAUGUGUUUCGAUUUCUGUUUGAUACUUCUCAGUUAGUUAGGCUUAAAAGUAUGAGAGAUAAUUCAUUUCUCGUCUCAUAUAGAAAUUAUCUUGAUGUCUUGAUUUUUAGGGUUUUUUUCAGCGGUUUUUGGUUUUUUUUUUUUUUUUUUUGGAUUUUGGCUAGUUAGGCUUAGAGGUGCAAGGACUUGUGAAAGAGAAGCAUUUGAUUGACCAACGAGUAAUUAGUUUCUCCUCAAGCAUCCCACCACUUUUCUAUUAAAGAAAUACAGGUACGUCUACGCUAUUACUUUUCAUGUCCUUUUACUUAAGAUAUUUAUAUAAAUAUAUAUAAAAAUAAAUAAGAUCCAUCUUUGGUAAUUUUUUUUAAAAUCAAAUCUGUGAAUAUUCAUUUCAUCUCUAAAGUUUUGCGUUUUGUUACUUUUUAAAAUUCCCUCCAUGUUACUAUUACACUCCUAUAUUUGUGUUGUAAUUAUGAUGUCCUUUUUCUAUGGUCUGUUAAAGUUAAUUUAAAUCCUUUUUUGCUCUUGGUUUAUGUUGAAGAAAUGGAAGAGUUUUUUAGCCUUAAUAGAUCUGGAGUACCUUAAUCGCUCUUGCAUUUUGUGAUUCUGUUCUUUUUCUAUUUUGAAGAGUGUCCUGAGUAAUUUUUAGGAUUUUUAUUUUAUAGUUUUUGUCGCUUGCAUUUAAACACGAACUUGGUUGUUGAACUGGGAUUCUUGAAUAAUUGUUGGUUUUGUUUUCUGAAGAAGUGAUCUUAUAUUUGUGUAUCUCUAUGUGCAACUUUAAUAUGGGGUUAUUAAGGAUGGAGAUAAAGGAGGAAGAAUGGAGAGAGAAAAGGCAGAAAUGACUUAAUUGUUGGGAUGAGUAUGACCCCAUGUCUAGUAGUUCCCAAGUAUGAUAUAGGAAGGCAGAGAGUCAAGGCCUUGUCUGACUCUAAUAGAAGUAAGUAGCUAACGCAACGCAAUAUUCUUUGCACCUUCAGUCUGUGAAUCUGAGGAGCAAGAGUUUGGCCAGAGGAGCUAGUCUCGUAACUGCGGGCGCAGUUCUAGUUCUUUACAAGACAGAUGGGAACUGUAGCUAACAAGUGUGCCCUGAGUGGAAUCCUACCACUACUCUUUCUACUAUAUUGGCAGGACGGGUGCCAAGUUAUUAGUAGCUAGGCAGCUAAGCCAGUAGUAGUUCAGUUCAGGUGCUGUUCUCAAACCUAGUUGACUACGUUGUAGCGUAGCGGUACGGGACAGAAAAAGAAUUGAUAGCGGUACACUGAACACAAAGAAAUUUGAUAGACAUAUGUUGAGAGUUCGACAAGUAGCACUGAAUCUACUAUCAGUAGUGAUUUAUAGAAGUUGACUCGCUUAAACGAAGAGAGUGAACAAAGCAUAGCGGAGUGAAGAGAGAAAUGGUUUCAUUAGAUAGCUCUCUCGAUGUCCUUGUUAUCUUUCCUAGGUAGAUUGUGACUUAUUCAUUCUUUCUCGCUGACUCUAGUUUCCCCGCCGUGGAUCCUUUCUCGGUUAGGGCUGUAAUUUAGAAUUCAGAAACGUAUCUGUCUUAUUAUCUUUGAGUCAAAGCAAUGUUACAUAUUUAUAUAGAGAAUAAACUAAACCCUAGAGACUAUGUAAAAUUACAAUAAAGGACAUAUGUGUAUAUAUAUAUAUAUAUCAUAACACUCCCCCUCAAGCUGGAGCAAAUAUGUCGAUCAUGCCCAGCUUGUUGCACAGAUAGCUUAUCCUUGUUCCAUUUAAAGCUUUAGUUAGAAUAUCUCCCAAUUGUUCUCCGGUCUUCACAUAUCCUGUGGACACCAACCCAUCUUGGAUUUUCUCACGAAUGAAGUGACAAUCCACCUCAAUAUGUUUAGUUCGUUCAUGAAAUACUGGAUUAGAUGCAAUAUGAAGUGCAGCUUGAUUAUCACACCAUAAUUUAGCUGGCACGGUAAUACUGAAGCCUAUCUCAGAUAAUAGUUGGUGAAUCCAUACUAUUUCACACACAGAUUGUGCCAUAGCUCUAUAUUCUGACUCAGCACUCGAACGAGAAACAACAUUUUGUUUCUUACUCUUCCAUGAAACUAAGUUUCCACCUACAAAAACACAAUAUCCAGAAGUCGAUCUCCUAUCCUCACGAGACCCCGCCCAAUCAGCAUCAGAAAAACAUUCAACUCUCGUAUGUCCAUGAUCUUUGUAUAGGAUCCCACGUCCAGGAGCAGCUUUUAGAUAACACAAAAUCUGCUCUACUGCAGCCCAAUGAUCCACUGUAGGGGAAGACAUGAAUUGACUUACAACACUUACAGAAUAUGCAAUGUCUGGUCGAGUCACUGUUAAGUAGUUCAACUUCCCAACUAAUCUCCUAUAUCUCUCAGGAUCUUUACAUAAUUCUCCUUCUUUAACAAGUUGCUGAUUUGGCAUCAUUGGAGUGCCACUUGGUUUGGCGCCUAAUUUUCCUGUUUCAGACAACAAAUCAAGUACAUAUUUUCGUUGAGACAAAUAAAUACCUUUCUUGCUUCUCAUCACUUCAAUGCCCAAAAAAUAUUUCAAUUGGCCCAAAUCUUUUGUAUAAAACUGACCCUGAAGGAAAGUUUUGAGAGACGAAAUACCCAAUGCAUCAUUUCCAGUAAUAACAAUAUCAUCAACAUAUACAACUAGUAGAACUAUACCCUUCUCAGAUCGGCGAUAGAAAACUGAAUGAUCAGAUGUACUCUUCUUCAUACCAAAGCAUACAAGGGCUGACUAAACUUACCAAACCACGCACGAGGACUCUGUUUCAAACCAUACAGAGAUUUUCGAAGGCGACAUACUUUAUCACUCUCCCCCUGAGCAACAAACCCUGGUGGUUGUUCCAUAUAAACUUCCUCUUGAAGAUCACCGUGAAGAAAAGCAUUCUUAAUGUCAAGUUGAUGCAACGACCAUUUAUUGGUAGCAGCCAUGGAAAGAAAUAGGCGAAUGGAAGUUAACUUGGCAACCGGAGAGAAUGUAUCUGAAUAAUCAGUGCCAUAGAUUUGAGCAUAACCUUUGGCAACAAGGCGAGCCUUUAAACGAGCCACUGUUCCAUCAGGAUUCAUCUUGACAGCAAACACCCAUUUACAACCAAUGGCCUUCUUUCCUGCAGGACGAGAUACCAAAUCCCAAGUAUCAUUAUCAUCUAAAGCAGUCAUCUCCUCAAUCAUUGCAUUUUGCCAGCGAGGAUGAGACAAAGCUUCAUGAACAGAGUUAGGAAUAGAUGUGGACUCAAGAGACGUAAUAAACGCAUAUGUGGAGGGAGAUAACUGGUGAUAGGAAAUAAAGGAAGAAACGGGGUAAGUACACUUGCGUUUACCUUUGCGAAGAGCAAUGGGAAGAUCAUCACUUGGCGCUGGAUCACAUGAUGAAGGAAGCAUUGAUGGAGGACAUGAGUCUGAAGGUUGUGGUGGAGGUCGUCGGGAGUAGACUUGAGAAAUCAACGGGCGGGAAGGAGGCACAUCAGUAGACAAGGAUGGUGUGGGAGAGGUAACCUCAUAUAUAAAAAGAUUGUCAUCCUCCCCCUGACACAAACUCGAUGGUGAUGAAGUAAAGGGUGUAUCUUCAAAAAAGACAACAUCAGGCGAAACCAGAUACCUUUUAAGGGUAGGACAAUAACAACGAUAACCCUUUUGAACACGUGAAUAACCCAAGAAGAUACACUUCAAGGAUUUGGGAUCUAACUUAGUAUGAUGAGGACGAACGUCACGAACAAAACAGACACAACCAAAUAUCUUAGGAGCAAUAGGAAACAAAUGCUUGGUAGGAAAAAGAACACGAUAGGGAAUCUCACCAUUAAGAACAGAGGAAGACAUUCUAUUAAUCAAAAAACAAGCUGUAGAGACAGCAUCAACCCAAAAGAUUUUUUAAACAUGCAUUUGAAACGAUAAAGCACGGGUAGUUUCAAGUAAAUGCCUAUUUUUCCGCUCUGCAACACCAUUUUGAGAUGGAGUGUCAGCACAGGAAGAUUGAUGAAUAAUGCCAUUUUCACACAAGUAAGAGCCAAGAGAAUGAGAAAAAUAUUCACCCGCAUUAUCAGUACGCAAAGUUUUGAUAGAGACAUUAAAUUGGUUUUUUAUUUCAGUAUGAAAGGCACAAAAAUGAGAUAAUAACUCAGAACGAUUUUUCAUUAAAUAUAACCAAGUUAGACGAGAAUGAUCGUCAACAAAAGUAACAAAAUAACGAAAGCCUGUUUGAGAUACAACUGGACACGGACCCCAAAUAUCAGAAUGAACUAACUCAAAUGGAGCAAUUGCUCGUUUAUCGACUCGAGGACUCGAACUAAGACGAUGAAAUUUCGCAAAUUGACACGAAUCACAAUUUAAAGAGGACAAAGACCUAAAUUCUGGAUAAAGUUUCUUCAACACGAACAAAGAUGGAUGACCUAAACGACAAUGGACUUCAAAAGGAGAGGGAACGACAGGACACGCCACAGCUUGCGAUACUUGAUGAUCAAAGAGAUAAAGGCCUCCUGACUCAUAUCCUCUACCAAUAAUCUUCUUCGUCACACGAUCCUGAAACAAGCAAUAACCAGAAAAGAACAUGACAACACAAUUUAGGUAGGUCAUGAGUAAGUUGACUAGUAGAAAUUAAAUUAAAGGAUAAGUUAGGCAAAUGUAACACAGAAGAGAGUGAAAAUGAUGGGGUAAGGUGAAUAGUGCCAGAGCCAAGAACAGAAGAUGUGGAGCCAUCGGCCAAUGUAACCGAUGGAAAAGGGGCAGGGGACAACGGUCUAGAAAAUAGGUGAGAAUUACCUGUCAUAUGAGCUGUGGCACCAGAGUCUAUGACCCAUUUGGUAGAUGAUGUAAGAAGACACUUUAUAUUACCUGGGGCAACAGUGGAUGCAAUCAGAGUAGAGGAAGAUGACGCUUGUAAUGACUCUUGGUAAUUCUGAAACUUAGCAAACUCAUCUGCCGAAAUAGUAACUGACGCCUCUGGUAUAUCACAUGUGGAGGCUAUCUGAGCAUGUUGAGAUCGUUGACUAUUCUUAUAUAGCAAUUUCUGACAAUCACGUUUCAUAUGGCCUGGCUUACGACAGUAGUUACAAACAAUCUCUACAGACUCUGGUUUUCGAUGAUCAGUACUAUUCCUCUGAGGUGCCCGAGGGUUAUUGUUAUUGUUCUUGCUAAAGAGAGCACUACUGGGUUGAGGAAUAGACACACUAGUCGGAGAGCUUUCAAUGCGAAGGACUCGAGUGAAGGCAUCAUCUAAUGAUGGAAUCUUGGAGUCAGAGAGAAUCUGUGUCUUUGCCAUUCCAAAUUCAGGUAAGAGUCCAUUCAGGAAAAUCAUAACAGCCAUCUUCUCUCGUUGAACUUGUUGAACUUUAACAUCAGGACUAAAAGGUAACAACAAGCCAAGCUCGACAAUGAUCUUCUUAAGCCGCAUAAAGUAGCUGGUGACAGACUCAGCUUUCUGUUCCGCACGAGAAAAUUGCAUACAAACUUCAAACAUUCUAUGCACUUGCUCUUUACCUGAGUAUAGAAAAUCCAAAAAUUCCAAAAGUUCUUUAACAGACUCACAGUGAUCAACCAAUCCAAUUAUCUCACUCUCAAUUGAAUUCUUGAUCUGAAGAUAUAAACGGGCAUCAUCACGAAGCCAAUCCUUCUUCUGCUUUGCAUCUUUUGGGAGAUCGAGUUUCAAACCUUUAUACACAAAAUUGAAACUCAAAAUUCACUUCCUUCCUUCCGCAAGGCCGAUAUCUUUCAUAGCAAGCAAGGAUGAGUCCAUUAGGUUCUUCGAUUGAUUCGGAAAAGAAAUGAGAGACAAGAAAAGAUCUUUGAUGGAGAUGAAAAGGAAGAAUCUCAAAUAGACCAAGAUCCAAUUUCGGGUCAUUUCUUGGUGAACAUGAUCUGCCAUAAUCUCUUCGAUCCCUGAAUUUAUGUGCCAGAAUAAAGAGAGAUUUGGUAGGAAAGUGGAAGAGACCUUGUGGUAUAUAAUAAUGAGAGGGAGUGGGAAAGCUGCUGUAAUUCUUUGGAAAAGCCCGGUUCUUUUUGUCUUCGAGCUUGAAUUCCUCAAUCCACUCUUUCGUUCUUUCAUAUACCUCCCCACCAAUAGAUAGAGACAAAUAGGAAUAACCGAACCACGUCUACAAAAUGCCAGUACCAUGCAGCUGCUUCAAAGCCAAUGUGAUGCUCCUUGGUCGGAUGACCUAGAUAUUGGCGAAUACCACAUACGAUCAAGAAAAGAGUACCUAUAAUCACAUGAAAACCAUGAAAGCCAGUUGCUAAGAAAAAGGUAGAACCAUAAAUACUAUCCGAAAUAGUGAAGGGUGCUUGAUAAUAUUCCAUUCCUUGAAAGCCUGUGAAUACUAGAGCCAGUGAAACGGUAGCUACUAAAGCGUAAACAGCUCGUUUUUCCUUCCCCGCGAGUAUAGCAUGAUGAGCCCAAGUUACGGCUGCUCCGGAUGAAAGGUGAAUAGGGGUGUUAAGAAAAGGGAUUUCCCGAGGAUCUAAAACCCCAAUCCCUUUUGGGGGCCAAAUAUCUCUGAUCUCUACCGUAGGUGCCAAAGAAGAAUGAGAAGAAGCCCGAAAGAAGCAAAAAGGAACAUAACCUUCGAUACGAUAAAGAGAAUAAAACCAUAUCGAAGUCCUAUUUUUACGACUUUGGUAUGAUGUCCUUCCAACGUGGAUUCACGUAGAACAUCGCGCCACCAUACGAACAUGGUAUAUAGGAGAAAUAUGAGGCCCAAACUGAGAAGUCUUGCACCCCCUUGAAAUGAGUGCAUGUACAUCACACCUCCUACGGUGGUUGCCAAAUGAUAAGAAUGCCUCUGAGAUUCAAUCAUAAACCACUUUGCCUCGGUUGUAUGUAAACCCCCCCUUCACCCCCACCCGCUAAAGUGGUAAAGAAGGGCUCUUUGGGGUCUCAUUUUCUUUCUAUCUGACAGGACUCAAAAAUAGGAAGGGAUGGUUCUUUCAUUGCAUUGAUAGAAGUCUAACUAGAAAAAGAUCUCGUUGCUUUGACCGAGCCCUAGGCUUUCCUUGGAUAGAGCCCUCUAUAUUCCGACUGAUUUAUGGCGUAGAAGGCGGGAAUAGGAAUCACUCAUAUUGCAUUGAGCCUUAACAGUCCGGAGGACUAUCCCGCUCCGUGGGAUUCUUUGAGCCUCACAAUAUUCUUUGCACCUAUCCAUCCACGGCAAUAUUCUUUGCACCUUCGCUCCAAAUAAAGUAAUAGCCGCAACUCAAUUCAUUUCAGCCUUCGCCUAGAAAUUCACUUUGCGACCCACUCUGUAAGCCCACUACACGAGAAGAAAGAAUAUCCUUAGCUAUUUAUCUUUAUUAUCUCUUCUCUGAGAAUAUCCUCUUAUUCUACUAUUAGAAGAAUAUCCUACUUUCAGUUUCUAGUCAAAGAAAGGUCCAGGCGCAGGCGCAAAGAAUAUUGCGAGGUGCAGUCUAAUGGAUAGGACUGAGGGCUCGACUGAAAGGAGAGAAGGCGCAAUUCAAUAUGCGAGGUCCAUAUUCCGACUGAGGAACUGAAACUUCCGCGUAGUGCUUCCCUUGUUCAUUGAUAGUAAUCCUGAAGUUUCUUCUUGGCAUCAAAAUAGAUCAAUGAAAGAGGACUAAAAAUAAGACGAAAGUACUUAUGACGGCUUUCCUUCCCAACAAAUCUUCGUUCUUAGUUAUUUGAUUCCACUUUCAAACUUUCUGGGAGUUGUCUUCUCCUAGGCUUUCUUCUUUCUGGCAGUCUUCUGCCUUGCCGUAGGGAGUAGGUUCAGGAGAACCAUAACCAUAAAUCAGAGAGACGGAGGCAUCAAUCACGCAAUAUUCUUUUGCAC